UUUUUUUUUUUCUUUCAUAAAAAUUCCCCAUUUUUUUGGAUUUUAGCCCAUGUUAGUUUUUGGGUAUAUUAGUUAAUCAGAGGAUAGUUAUGCCUAACAAAAACUGAAGGAGACAACAAUAACUGUUUCUUAUGUGACAUGGAAUUUAUAUUGUAUUAGUCAUGUGAUUGCUUUGCUUCAUUUCACUAAAAAGCCUUAAAUUGCUCAAGAAUCAAGGUUAAGAGAAAUUUAUAGACACCUUAAUGUUCCUCCUAAGAAUAAAACUGUGAGAACCCAUGAGUUAAAACAAACAAUACUUGGAUUGUAGUGAGCCUAACAAUGUUAAUAAAUUUAAGGUCAGAACAGUUUUCUACGGUAACAAGGUGAGAAAGGUUCGGGAGUCAUAUUGCAAGUGGAGUGGAGGAAAUUACAAUUUAGAAUGACCUGACCUAAACUAAUAUUGGCUUUGUGAUCAAGGUCUUUCCUUCUGCUUGACUGCAUUCAAAAUUGGAUGUGUGUGUAGGCAUGAAUGAUUGAUUUUCUAUGCAAAUGCAUUUAUGUUUUCUCUCUCUCAUUUCUUUUGAUUCGUUCUCUUGAAGAUGUACACUUUUUAACACUUCCCUAGCUAGUCCUCCUGUGCUUUGGUCGUUUGUAACUGCUGGCUACUUCUAUUUACAGAAAAUUGCCCAACUAUUGAACCAGAUUGCACAAAUGAACGAAAUACUUAUAAAUCGUCAUAAAGCUCUAGCCGCUAAAGUGGAGUAAUGAUUGCCUACAGGUUGUGAAUAUGGUUGGUAGCUCACAUUCACAAGGAACAGUGAUCAAGAGCUUCACCCUCCAGUGAUGCCGCUUUUAUCUUUCUAUUUUGAAAUAUCACUGCUUACCUGUGCACUUUUCAAUUUGCUUGUAUUCUGCAUGACAGAGUUAGGUUGUAAUUGACAGAAGAACUAAUUGUGAUUCUUCGCACAUGUUCCUGCUACAGCUGUGCUGAGUGAUUGAACAUGUACUCAGAACUGGCAUCUCCAAAGCAAAUGGCUAUCGGAUUGAAGUGCCAACUUUGAGGAAGGAAGUUCUCCAUUCCUCAUGAUUCGUCAAUGACUAGAUCAGCAGGGAAAUGGCUGAACACUCUAACAGUGCUAAUGCUUAUUCAGCUAAGAUCUUUGUUCUUUAGAUGUUUAGCGAAUGUUUCAUUUAUUCAGGCCCUUGAUGUUUGGUGAGCUUUUGGAAAAUCCCAUUUUUUUAUUUACUAUAUUUGAGACACAACCCAUAGAACAACCAAGGACGUGUCAUUCUACAGCUAUAAUUAAUUGAAUGAACAUAACAUGCCCAUUGUUAAAUUGCGAAAAAAUAUUUUCUCGCGGAAUUGCGGUUUUUUGUUUCAUUUUCUAUACUUUUAUUCAAAAAUAGCCAUGCAAUAAAAAAUUCCACUGUUCAUCAUAUGUGGAAAAUUUUGCAGGGCAUUCUCUUAGUUAACAAUGAUGACGCUGGACCCAAAAGGGCAGAGAUGAUGACGAAAUAGAAUAUACAUGCAUGAUGCAACCAUGACUACCUUGUGCAUACAAUAUGACAUAAGGAAAAGUCGGAGGUCACUUACGUGUGUUUCAUUUAGAGAGAAAAAAAUAGAGAAAAUGGAAAUAAUGAAGAAAUGAUUUUAAAAGAAGUAAUAAAUAAAACUAAAUGUGCAGUUUUAGAGUAGAAAUGAAUGAGAUAAAUAAACUCAAUGUUAAUGAAAAUACCCAAUGUUAUUUUUAUACUCGUCGUUGUUUCAAUUAUCAAAAUAUCUUUAAUUUAUUUGGUAUUCUAUUUAAAAAAAAUUAUAAUUCUAUUUUGUGAUAGUUAUUUAGCAUUAAAAAGAAGAAAACCUGCAUUUUUUUAAAUUGAAUUCAAAAUAAUAUUGAUUUUUUUUUACUUCAAUUUUUAUUUAUUUCCAAAUUAUUUAAUAAAUAUUAGGACAGUCACAAGUGAAUAUGCAUAUUAUCCAGCAGAAACAAUGAUAAAAUACAAAUUUUAUAACCGUUAAUUAUCGAUAAUGGAGUAUAAGUUUCUACUUAGAAAAUAAGACAAAUAUCAUCAAACUAGGCUUGUUUCAUCGCAAUCUCUACUCUUCUCUACUCUACCAAACAAGGAGGUGAAUUUCAACAAAGCCAUAAACUGUGCAAUUAUUUGUUAGUACAAUGAAGGCGACACCUUGCAUGUCAUUGAAUUAACUUAUUUUGCAAUUAUAACUUAUAAGAGAUAACGAUGGGGAUACCUAGAGAGAAGUCAUGUGGUGUUAGGAAUCUCUUAAAAGCAUCCAACUAAAUUAAGAGUGUUUUGAGUUACCAUUACCGUCAGACCAGCAUGAUUUGAUACUUUAUGAUAAGUGGAAAUUUAUGUAAAUCUCAUUAACCCUCUUUAUUAUUGUGGUAAGCAUAUAAUUCCCACAAAUGAGAACGAGGUUAUAAAAAAAUAGUACCAAUGAAUGUGCUAAUAGCCUAAUAUUAAAACUUUUGUAGCAUAUUAUUACUAAUAGUAUGUUCUUAGUCUUUGCCAUCCAGCCAUAAAUUAUAACCUGUCCUAGUAUUUGUUUUCUUUAGCUCUGUGGUACUCGUAAAUGGGAAGAGAAAAAAUUAUUGGAAGGUGAAAACAACUUGUCAAGAAAAUACAAGGUUUUAUUUCUGUACCUACAAUUGUAGAGUGCGCAGAAAUGUAUAAUAGGAACGAAAGCUUCAUCUGACAAAGAAAUAUGCUAACAUUAACGUGUAAGAAAGCAGCGCCUCGUGAGACACGAUAAUCACAUAUCAAGCGGCUCUAUCGGUCACUGUGAAUGAUACCUUUUCGGCUCCAAGACAAAACUGUGUUGCAGUUAAAAGAUGUUGGUGUGUCUGUCUGGUAUAAGAUAUUUAUCCUGUUGUUACAUGUCAAAGAGCACUCCUAACAUUCUGAAUUCUCUGUUACCACGAGGGUUAUGAAUCCAAAACAUUGUCCAAAUAAAUAUAUCAUAAAAAUUUACUUCGAAUCAUAAUUCAGACAAACUAUCACACACUUACAUUGUUGAAGAUCAUACCUUUGUGCUUUCUCUUGGAAUUUGGAAACGCACAUUUGGGAUCAGCAGAUUAAAUAUAUCAGAAACAGAAACAGAAAGUGGUGGUUACCUCGUGUUACAAAUCACAACGAUAUCAAGAGGACAUGGACGUAUAUUAAGUUCGUGAAUUCAUUUAAUGUCACAAAAGCCCAAAUACAAAGGAAGCUCAGUAUACAGCAGAUGAGUAAAUAAAAUUUGUUUGCUGAUUGUUCAAACUCAUAAAAAAGAAGAUAAAUUACGAAAGAAUUCUAUCCUACUAUUCUCAAAAGAAGUACCAAGACAACAGAAAAAGCAGAAGUUACAUUUGAACUGUCCCCAAAUGAAAUUCCAGUUCUAAAUAAUUACUGUCUAUGAUACCACCGUUGAACAGCAUUUCUUACUAGCUCUUCAAUCCCUUGCUUUCCGUAGAAUGCCUCCGAAUAUCAAAUUGGUCUACAAACUCCAAAGGAGUAACAGUCUCAUUUCUGAUCCUCUUGAUCUUGGGGCUCAACAGACCACGAUGCCUGAACCCAUAGAGCUUAAGCACCUGAUUAUCAGCAAAAUUGUAAGCCCUCUCCAUGCUACUGAGGCACCUCUCCACAGGAUAAUCUCCAUAGCUCCCACAGGGUUUACACCCGACAAAAUGUGUCACAAACGGCCAUCUCUCAUCCCCCAACCCGGGGUGAUACUUCUCAAUCAUCUCCUCAUACCGAUCAACCAACCCUGCCCAGUAACCGUGCAAAUAGAAGGAAUUUUCAAGAAACACCUUAUCCAUCCACUUCUCCUUCUUGGACAGCAGCAAGUAUAUCAAUGCAGACUGAUCGUCGGCCUCAAAUGCCGGCCUCCCCUUGAGAUUGGCCGUCAAGAUCUUGCCGGCCUCCUCGCGAACGGGCCCCUUGGGGCCCAUGGGAGCCCAAUCAUCAAGCAAAUCCAAAGACCACUGACAGUUCCUAAACAGAAAACUCCCAGUAUUCACCGCAAUCCAAGACUUCUGGUCAAACAACAAAUCAGGGUAUCCAUGAAGAACCAAAUUAUACGCAUCGUACUUAGGCAUAGGAAGCUCAAACACCAUAUCAGUGAAAAAAGCAUCACUAUCCAUCCACCAAAUCCACUCAACCUCGGGAUGUGACAACAUCAACCUCCGAAUCAUAGGCAACUUAGCCCAGUAGCCAGCAAGUUCCACAUCCAAAUGAGCCAAAUUGUACACAAUUUCAAUCCCGUGUAAUCUACAGUAAUCAAUCUUGUUCUUAAUGGACUUCAAGAGGUAGUGAUCUCCAAUAGGGUUAUCACAGGGUUUGGGAGGGGAACCAGUGAGGAGCAAGAUGCGAGGUUUACCUCUGAUGGAAUUAGGGUAUUCAGGGUUUUGACUGAGCCAAUUUUGGCGUUCUUGGUCCCAAUUAUCGAUUUUGGGGCCAAGGGUGAAGGUAGCGUUGGGGUUGAAGGGUUGCUGGUCGUCGGGAUCGUUGGGGUCGGCGUCGGAUCGGAUCUCAGCGAGGAUGCGGUUGGUCUCCUCGACAAGGUUCUGGUUGACGGCUUCGGCAUCGGAGGAACCAAGGUUGACGCCGAUGGUGCCGCGGAGGACGAGGAUGGUGACGAAGCCGCAGAGGAUAGUGAUCUUGAUGUUGUUGAAGGUCUUCUGGAUCUGGCGGCCGCGGGGAAGCGCGGUGGCCCGGCCUCGGGCGUUGGAGGUGGGUAAACCGGCGCUGGUGCUGCGCUUGUGGUGAUUGUCUUGCCCCAUGUUGGCACGAGAUUUGGGGGAUUCACCUGAAAGGAAUCAGUGAAAGGUGUUGUUUGAGAAAUGCUGCAUAAAUAAAGGGUGGAGGCUAGAGAGCGGAGGGUGUUUGUCUCCUCGGAUCCAGGUUUACAAACAAAAUCAUUGGUUUGUUUUUAAGGAGAUGAAAGUAAAGGUAGAUUGAAGGAACACAGAAAGUGAGAAAGACGUGUUUUUCCUUAUUCUUAGAUACAUUCAUCUUUAACACUUAUAAAUAACUAAUAAUACUAAUAAUAAUAAUAAUAUUUUUCUUUUAUUUUCGAACAUCAUGGCUGGUUGUUUCCGCCACUUGAGUUGAGUUCCGACAUCCCACACGGUCAGAGGUAAAAUAACUAAGCAACAGACAAAACUAAAAACCCUUAAAAAAUCAAUUAUGCGGUUAAAUAUGAUAAUAUUAACUUAUCAAUCGGAUAAUAUCUACUUCCAAUUCGGAAAAACAAUAUCCUUUUUAUCGUUUAUGGAAAUACAUUAUAUUACCGACAAUUCAAAUUUUCAUUGAAUAAACAAUAAAAAAAUGUUAUUACUUUUUUGACGAUGAAAAACACACUUUAUUCUGGUAACCCUAAAAUUUAAUUAAUAUACAUUAUUAUUAUUAUAAGAUUUUUAUAUUGUUAUUUAAUUAUAUGUUAUCUUGUAUGUUAAAUUAUUAUUUUUGUAAUAACUAUUUUAAAAGUUGCAUUGGACUAAUUUUUAAUUAUUAUAUGUUCUGCCACUUUAAAUAUGGCUUUAGAUGGAAAGUGUAUAUAUGAAAUUAAAAGGGGAUGCAAAAUGCAUAAGAGAAAGUACUUAACAGUUAAAUAUGGAAAAAUAAAAUUAUUAAAUAUUUUAUUUUUUAAAAUAAUUUUUUGAUUGAUAUAAAAAUAUUCCACAUAAUUUAUUUAUUAAUGUCUACAUUCUUUUCCGCUUAUUCAAAUAUACAUAAAGAAUUUUUUUUUCACUUAUUUUUUAUAUCUAUACAGAAGACGUAUGGUUUAUAUCAGGCGGAUUUUGUAUAUAAGGUAACCAUCAUGUUUUGCAUCAAGUAUCUUGUUUUCUUUUUUACAUGUAUCUAAACGUUUAAUAUUUUCGCUGUUAUUUACAAGAAAAAUAAUAAUAUUUAUAUAUAUAUAUAUAUCCCCACUUUUAGUUUAUUUGAUUAUAUUUUUUAAAAUGUUUUAACUUUAAUGAAUUUCUGAUAUUAUUUUAAAAUAUUUUAACUUUAAUAUAGUUAAACAAUUUUCUACUACGUGAAGUUUUUUUUUCUCAUAAAUGAGUACCAAAUAAUAGUAUAAGAUUCAUAGUUACGUGAGCUAAAAAAACUUAUAUUACGCAAUUAAAUAUAUAUUAUUUAUAAAAUAUUUCAAAAUACAUACCUUUUAUAAAAAAAUUAACAAAUAUAUAUAUAUAUAUAUAUAUAUAUAUAUAUUUAACCAAAUACCACAAGAAAGAAAAAAUGAAAAUCAUCUAUAAUAUCAUGUAUUUUCGACACAAUCAUCAUAGAUUUUAAAACAAACACAAAACAAAAAAAUACGAUAAGCUAGUAAUUUUUAAAAAAAUUAAUAAAAUUUUGAAUUUAAGAUAAUACAUUCACAGACAAGCAUUAUACAUGUACUAAACAAUAAAAUAUUUAUAAUUAUCUCAUGGUUCCACAUCUCUCAUAUGAAGAAUCUAUUGAUACCAAAACAUAGAAAUUCAAUUCUACUUCCAAAAGAUCAAUGUAUUGAAAUUAGACUAAAAGACUUGAACAUGUCAUAUUAUUAUAUUCUCAUUAUAACAUAGUCUCCCCUUUAGGAAAUUCAUCCUCAUAUAACACGAGUAAAUCAAUAUGAUUUGCUUUGAUAAGUUAUUUUUCAAAUCUCAUAAUCGAUCAUGUGAAUCUCCUUUGACUCAGACCACCUGAUACUCUUCAUUUAUAUGAUUCUAAGCUAUCUAUAGAGUCAGGAUCGUCCCUUUCAGGAAGUCUCACAAAUUAAUAUAUUCCCCUCACUUGAGCGAAAAUGGAUAUGAGAACAAGGUAAUUUUUUCUAUCAUAUUCUAGCUUGAGUGAGAAUCUUUAGUUUGAGCGAAAAUCUUUUGCUUAAAAAAAAAAUUAGAAGAAAACUUUACAAUACUAGCUAUUUUUCAAGCUUUCACCCAAAAUCAAUACUACAAUUGUAUUAUAUAAAACAUAUAAGAUCAAAAUGAUAUCACCUUCCUCAGAGUUGCACAUAUACUCUCAUUGAACUCCUAUGUCAACAUAUAUAUAUUUAUACAUUCAUGAUUUCUAAAUAAGGUUUAUUCAAAUUUCAAUUCAAAUACCAACACUCAUCAAUGUUUACACUUCAAAUGAUCCAUAAUACAAUUCAAACACAUUCAAGAACUUCUUCAAUAUCCCAGUCAACAUGUACAUUUCUAAAUUAUCAAAAUCUACUAUAUUUAUACUUUUAAAGUCAAUCGCAAUCAAACCAUAAUAAUUCAUUAAACAACAAACUUUGCAAAAAAUUUGAAAUUCGUGACCAUGUCACAUUCACAUAUAGAUCUUCUAACAUAGGAUUUUAUUGAAAAGUAAAAUUAUAUUCCCUUAUGUAGGCACGCUCACAAAGAUUUCAAACUCUUAAAACAAACCAGGAUAGUUUAACAUGUACCAAAGAGUUUUGAUCAAUUAUCCAAACAUACUACAUACAAACACGUUUAUUGAGGUAAACCAUAAAAUUCAAAAUUGACUAAAAAAAAUGAGUAAAAAUGAAACUACUAUAACAAAAAAAUCUGAUUAGAUACUAUUACUCUACUUACUAUGAGGAGUCGAGUGGUGAUGACUUCCAAAGGAGAUAAUCAGAAUUUUAGAGAAAAAAAAUAAGAGAUUUUUUUUAGAUAAAUGAUGAUUAUAUUAAAAUCAUCUCAAUAACUAUUUUUUUUAUAUGUACAUUUUUCCCUUUAAUAAUAAAGAAUUAAGGUAUCUUUUUAACUAAAUCAAUUCUUUUCUAAAUCCACAAAUAAUUACAUGCAAAUUCAUUUUAAUAUAAAUGAUAAUGACGUUAAGACACUAUUUUUCAUUUACUAACUUAUAUCAUAGUCAAAAUUACAAAUUAAUAUGAUUAAUAACUUUUAUUAAUUUAUAUAUAGUCUAGAUUAUAAACCAGUACAUUAUUAUAAAUAGAAUAAUAAAUUUUAUUUAUUAAUUCAUGUUUUUGUAGCGGUGUAUUAAUUAUAUAUAUCAUAAGUAAACUAUUCUAUCAUGAGAGUGAUAUUAAUGGUCUAACCUAGAAUGAAUGAGGCGAAACUUGAAUCAAGUUACAGUGUAAUUUUCUCACUCUCAUUUAUAUCUAUCAAGUCAACACACCAAACUACACUAAAAUCAGGUAAUUAUAAAAUUUUAAGUUUUACAUUCCUUAUGAAUUUAUCUUUAGUUAGUUUUUAUUAAAAAAAAAUUCAUUAAAUAUCUAAUGUUUUUAAAUAUAUUUUAACUGAAUUUAUGUUAGUUGAUUUUGUUGUUAAUUUGGCUAAAGUGACCAUUGUAUUACAUCCUCAUUAUUUACAUGUUUCUACAUAAAAAAAAAUAAAAAUUGGUAUAAUGAAGUUUUAAAAUUCUUCAUUCAUAAUUUUUAAUUGAAUCUUUAUUAAAAUCUUCUGCUCUAUUAAAUAUAUAAAAUAUUUAUAUAUUAAAUGUGUUACAUGGUGAUUUGAUAGUCUCAAAUUCAACACCGUAAAUUUAGACGAUAAAAAAAGGAAAUUAUGUACUUGACGAAGAAAUUAAAUAACAAAAACUCAAUAAAAAAUAUUUUUUUUAUAUAUUUAAUAGAACAACUUUUUAAUAAAAAUUAAAUUGAAAUUACUCAAAUUUAUAAACAACUAAAAAUUUAAUUAUGUUAUGUUUUCAUUUUUUAUACGAAGAUGUAUAAACAAUAACAAUGUAAAGUAAUGUAACAUAACCAUCACUCAAGCAAAUUAUUGACAAAAUCAAAUGGUCGAAACACAACUAAAAAAUAUAAUUUUUUUAAAUAUUUGAUAAAAAAAACUUUUAAUAGGGAUUCAAGGAAUAAGGUGAAUUACUAAUUUUUCUCUCAUUAAUAUCUAUCCAAAUCAGCGUACCAAAUUAGAUUCAAAUAACGUAAUUAGAAAAAUUAAAGACUAAAAUCAUAUAUAUUGAAUUAAGGACUGUGAAAACAUGUGAAAGUAGACAGUAUGUCAACAAAACUAAUAUUAUUAAAUAAAUCACAUAUUAUCAGUGAAUGUUACUUUAUUUAAUUUUAGAAAUAUAGAGAACAAAAUCAAAAUUUGCUAAUUUUAGAUAGAGCAACAAAAUAUUGAAUUCCUUUUGAAAAUUAAGUGAAUCAUAAAUGCAAAAGUAUUUACAUGAAUGUUCCAAGAAACCAUGAAUUAAAAAGGAUGAGUAAAGGAGAUUGGUGCCCUAGAACAAAUCAUAUUUUUGUAAUGAUAAAAGUGUAGCGUAGUCUUAUGUAUGAAUAAGAUUUGAUUGGAGAGAAAAGGGAAGUCAACAAAUUCCCCAAUCCGACAAGUUAAAAGAGACAAAAGGAAGAAGUUUUGUUAAAAAGUUAACCCCAGACAAAGGAGUAGAUAAUCUUAACUUACUAGCGAAUGAGAAAAUAAAUUUAAAAAUGAGUUAUGCGGCAAAAGCAGACCAAAAAAGGAAUUUGUAAAAAUUAAGGAUAUUUAGAGAGAAGAGGGUAAAGCAAUAACAGCAGAUUUAAGUGUGCAUCUAGAUGGAGCCUAAUCCAGCUUAGGGCGUUCUGGCAUUGGACCCAUCUUGUCUCUUCACUGUUACGCACUGCUUUACAGCCAUCAACUUCAUACUGUCAACGCGUCCUUUCUCUUAUUCGCAUCUUCUCGGAUCAACCACACAGGUAAAUGGGAAGCGCGUGGAUUCCAUUUCCAUUGUGAUGGAAUGUUAGAUUGAAGAGUGGAAGCUGGCAACGUGGGUGAGAGGUAAAUGAGCCCCACAAUAUCCCCAUAUUGACGCCUUCUUCUUGUCCCUUUCCUCUGCUUAAUUACAUGUGCCAUGACCCCAUGUGCGGGCUUUCCAGAUCUUGAUCUUCUGCUUCCUCCCUCCCAAGCUCCAUUUUGCAAUACUGUGUGGUGACCCUCUGCCACUGUCUUACCUGGAUGAUAUAGUUUCCAAAAUAGUACAUUCACCUCCUAAAGGAAAAAAAGAGCAUUUUACUUCUACCGAAAGUAAACCUCAAAACACAGACAAAAAAUAAACAUGAGAUAGUGCGAUGGGUGCAAGUGCCUGUUACAUCCUACAAGAAGUGAUUUCUGAAUCUAGAUGCCUGUAAAACAGAAGCUUUUCCAAGCAUGUGUUCCUCUUUCUCUGCAUACAUCGUGUGGUAUUACAAGGAGAUUCAAAGAUUAAUCCGAUGAUCAGAGAGUAGACAGUGAAAGAAUUUAUUUCCAAAAUUGGGUCUGAAAAAACAAGGAAUUCAUUGAUAAAGAAGAUAAGUAGUUUGGAAAAUAUGUCCAAGAGAUCGAAAAAUCUCCUGGAAACUUAAUGUGGUCGAGACAAAAAUCUAGAGGAAUACAAUGUGUCUGUUUUGGGUUUUACAGUUUCUUGGAAGUUGACUGAUAAUAACCUUGUCCUCGGGAGAACCUCGCUUCAAAAAACAAUAAUACUCAAGUCCCUGUCAUUGACAAGGAUGAAGUAUCGGAGAAAGGCACUUUAUAAUAGUUAUUCUCUUAAAAUUCUCGUGAAAGGUAUGAAUACACAAACCAGAAAAAUGAAGACAUGUCCGUAUCUAACCAAUGAUGUUGUUGUUCACACUCCAACAUGUCCAUGUAGUAUUCUUAUAAAGUAAAAAGAUAAUAUUUGAUAAACGUGUUCAUACUCAUAUAUACGCAUUUAUAUUAUCAUUUUUUGGAUACAUAUACCUGUAGUGUCUUUGUAAUUUAGACUUAUGCUUCAUAAUGUGAAAUAUAAUUAAUCCCACAGUUGAAUGCCAAUUGCGCAAUUUUAGACACAGGGCAUUAGAUAAAACUAGAGGAACCAGUUUAUGAUGUUAACUAAAUUGCAAAUAUUAAAAUAACAUGUUGGCCUGCUUCAAGCUGCAAUUCUAAAAGUAAAGAGUAAAAGGAGAAGGAAAAAUAAAAGCUUUAUAGGCAUUCAACCUUCCCCUGAAAUUUAAUCAAGAGGCCAGAAGCACAUUCCGAUGCCAAGCUGACCAGGUUUAUUGUAUAAAAAUUGUCAAUGCUCCAAGGAAAAAUGAGUCGCUAAUGAACUAACAGAAUAAGAUGCAGUUUAACUGAGAUCUUUAAGAUUUUCAUGCAAGAUGUUCAAUCCAAUAACACAACAUGUAGUUCAUAACCACAAACCUGUAGCAGUACUAACACGAUGCUAAUAUAUUAUAAGCAGGCAGCAAUAAUAAGUUGUUCUUCGGAGAAGAUCGGCAGAAAAAAGCUGGAACAAAAACUGUAAAACUUUCAAAUUAAUUUGCAGUGAACUUUUUUUUCUUCUUUGUUGCAGCAUAUUUUUUUCUCAUCUUCAUUUUUCUAACAAAUUUUUUAACUUUGUGUGGAGACUUGGCUACUGAGCUGUCCACAAGACUGAUUUUUUCUGGCUUUGUAGGUUUGUAAACUUGUGUUAUUGAAGGAUCCAAAACAUCUUCGGAGCACUGAAGAAUGAUGCCCAUAGAUGUAGCUUCAUCCCAGAGCUCUCUUCCCUUCUCAAAAUUUCCUCCUGUACAAAGCUUUGGAAUAAGCACAUCAUAAACCGGUCCAUAACCUCCCAUUGAAUUUUUCUUCAUUUUCUCAAACAGUUCAAGAGCAUGAUUUACUCUUUCAACCCCACAGAGAAUACCGAUUAAACUAUAGUAAAACUUAUGAUUUGGCAUCAAACCUUUUCCAAUCAUUUGAUCUACUAUAUCUUUCCCCUUACCAAACCUGCCGCUCAGAAAUAACACCUUUGCCACAAGAUAAUAGCUGACCCAAUCAGGAUCACAACCACCAUUUGUCAUUGUUUCUAGUAUUUGACAAGAUUCCUUAACUCUUCUGGUCUUCCCUAGACAAGAAAGCAGUAUGUUGUAACUGAUAGGGGUUGGGAAAACCCUACAAGACCUCAUCUCCAUCAUGACAUUUAAAGCUUCAGGCACAAGUCCUGAAGGAUUAUGUCUAAGAUUCCGUUCACAAAGGCACCUGAGGAAUGUGUUGUAGCAUAGCAAAUCUGGGGUAACCCCAUUCGCUUUCAUCUCUUUGAUAAUUCUCCUAGCUUCCUUCACAUUCCUCUGCACAGACCACCCGUAAAGUAGACUUCUAUAUAUGCAAGGUUUUGCGCCUGUAAUCUUGUCUCUGUGAUGCCAAACUACCCCUUCAGCCCUCUUAGCAUGACCUUUGGAGCAAAGGGCAUUAAUGAUAGCAGUGACUGUAAAUUCAUCUAUAGAACACUUAUACUUGUCCAAGUUCUUGAAAACACCCAAUGCCUGAUCUUCUUUUCCCAGUUUAACCAAAGUAUCAGCUACAAGACCAAAAGUCUCUGCGUCCAUGACUCGACCCUCCUUCUUGAGAUCUUCCAUCAAAAUAUCCAUGGCUGUGUAGUCAUUCUUUUCAGCAAAAACUCGAAGAGCAUGAUUGUAAUCCUUGUUUUCCAAACUAUGACUCAGAUUCUUACUAGACCAUAAAAAGAACCUGAGUAAUCUUCUAGUGUGUGCCUCGUGCUUACUAGAAUCAAUAGCCUGAGCUACAAGAGACGAAGUUAAAGAAUCUUUAAACUUAUUUAGGCUAAACUCCAGAUCAUCUAGGCCACCAACAGUGCUCACAACAACGCUGCAGAGCUCUUGCAACUGGGGAGAGACAGAUAUUGGCAGCAAUGUGGAGUACUGGGAAAAUGCAACUAUUUGCAAAUUCUGGGCACUCAUAGCUUUAGACCAAGAACGUUUCCAUGCAGGUUUGAGCAAGACGUGCAUCAUGAAUCUCAUCCUUGAAAUUCAUCAAACAUGUUAUGUGCAGUACUGUAACUCUAAAUCUUCAGACACAUGGCCGUGUGAGGUGAUGAUUAACAACAACUGUACGUUAAAGCAGGAAAAUAGGGUGCUCUCAUCCACAAAAUCCAAACUUUAGGGACUGCAGAUAAACCCCUUGUGUCUUAAAUUUUGGGUUCGGAGCUGAACUUCUAAGGUCGGGGCCGAAUAUAUAAAUUACCAGGGUUGUCGUGUCAGAUCGUUUGAAAAACGAAAAAACACGACUUUUGAAGAAUAUUAAAAUAUUGUAAUUAAUAUUUUAAUUAUACUACAUCAUAAAUGUCUAUUUAAUUCUAUUUAUAAAUAUGAAUUUAAGUUUGCCAUUCUCACAAGGUACCAUAACAACAUUUUUUUAUUAUAUUCUUAAUAAUUCCAAAAUACGAAAAGAUUAAUGUGUCAUGGAAUUAUUCCUUUAAAAAAUUAUGAGUCCUAAACAUGUUUUUCACUUUUUGAGAUUAAUAUCUUUGGAUUUCUCUGUCUUUAAUUAAUAUUUUUUUUUCUUGACUUUCAAUAUCUUAGAAUAAAUAUUCUUUAUUUCAUCUUAAUUUCUUUUAUUCUGUUAAGUAACUUCUAAAAUGCUGUAAAAAAAGUCAACCCAUUUCUUUUUCAGAAAAGGUUUGUCAUUGGUUUAUUUAUAUGUUAAGUUAAGAAAGUUACUAUAAUAAGGAUAAAAUAUAAAAUAUAAAAUUUAAGAAAUUAAAAGUCAAGGAAAAAAUCUAUGAACUACAAGAAAAAUCAAACACAUUUUGAAGAAUAAAAACACAUUAAAGUCGUUAAAGUGAUAGUAAUAGACGUCAAUGUUGCAAUACCUAAGAACAUAAUGGUAGGAAGGCCAAAUAGUCUUCAAUAGUAACAUUGUCCAGAGGCUUUGUUUGCUCUCCAAUUCUCCACUCAUGAGUUGGUAAAUAGCUACAACCUAUACAUGUAUUUAGAUUACUACACCUAACCAGCAUCAGAGAAAUAAUCACCAGCUACUUUUAAACUUGGAUUUUUCCACUAUAAACUAGUUUAAUAGUACAUAGUAAUAAUCACGAAGAGGAAUAUGCUUGAGCUGGUUGUAAAAUUUGUUUGACAGUAAAUCUCAGAUAAUAGUUCCAAAAGUUUUGAUUAAACAAAAGUGUAACACUUUCAACCACUUGGGCAAGACCUGCAGCAGGUACACCUUCAGGAAGAUAUAUAUCUUUCUUUUUUGAGAAAGUGAAAUUUAUGAGACCCCAGCAAGAUUUUGUUUGAACUCCAAAUGAUGAGGAGGGUGCAGAGGGGGAAUUGGAUCAGCAUCCUUGACCCUGACUCAUCGACAGCACGUGCUCAUCCACUAAUAGUGUUAGAUGAAUUUUCCAUCAAGAUCAACAACAGUAUCAAGUCCUCAACAGGCUAAUUUCACUGCAGAAAGAAAUUCAUUGGUCCUUCAUCCUUGUGGUCAAAGGUUGCAAUUUGAGAUUCUCAAGCAUCCUCAGGAGAGAAAUCUCUUGCUACAUGGUUGUCUUCCUCCUCUUCAUCAUCUUCUUCAUCAUAAUCAGUAGAAGUAGGUUGUCCAUUAAGAUCCACAUUAACACCAUUCAACUUUCGGACAAACUGUCCCCUCACACGAGGCCGCCUUUCUGCCAGCCGUUUUCUGUUGACAUACCUAAUUUUCUUCUCAAAACAGCGUUCUUUUCUUUUCUGUCUAAACUUCAUCAAUGCUGCUUCUCUCCUAUCAACCUUACUUAAUUUUACUUCACAUGAGCUUGAACUUCCUAAUGAUGGCCAAGAAUGAGUUGUAGAAAUCUGACCAGGUUGUAAGUAAAUGUUCAUUGGAUAAUAUGGGAAGGGUGUCAUCCCACUUGCAUGAGGAGGACACUGGGGAAGAUGAUUGUACUGUGCAAUCACAGAUGAACUAGAAUGACUUUGGAGGUCCUGGAUAUUCUUUUGAUAUAUUUGUGCUGAUGAUAACAUAACAUGAUUAACAGCUCCUGAAAUAUAAUAUGGAUAAACAUGUUGAGCAGGAUCGGAACCAUGACUUCCAUUUCUUGGAUGCACUACUCCUUGAGAAUGUUCUUCCCUGUAAUGCUUUUGCUGAGAAACUUCCAUCGAAGCAGGUGGAGUACAAGAUCUCUCAAUAGAGAAAGAAUCAGGGAUACUGUUGCUGCUGGGUAAGUCAUCUUGUGAAUGAUUUUCAAACAUUUCUCCAUUUUCAUGUGUUUUAAGGUCAUUACCCUCCUGUUCACCACAUGCUUGAUUCACAUGUUCCACCCUAACUUCUGUAGUAGUAUUGUCAACAUGAGCACUCUCUUCAAUGUUGCUCUUCAGUGCUGUUGCUUUGACAUAGGUGAAAAAGGCUGAUGACUCUCCAAUCUUCAGUUCACUCUUCUUUGGACCAGUUGAAAAAUGUCCUGCAAAAUUUUGGAAAAUCACAGUGAAAACAGUCAAAAUAACAAGGGUACUCAUCACUUCAGCCAAACUUUAUUCAACUUUAGGAUCCAUUUUAAACCGCGGCCAUUUUUUAAAUUAUAAAUGUAGAAAGCAAAAUAUGAUGUGCAAGUGAAAACUACCAAUAUUAGUUCUGCUGCGUGAUGAAUGCUGCAUUGCAGUACUAUGUGAGUAAUCAUAAAUAACAAUGAAGCAUGAACAAAUGUAUUUAUUUGACUUUCUUGAGAAAUAGUAGAUAUAUGGACCAAAAUUGGCUAAGAAGAGGCACAGGAAAAACUGAAGUUUUACAAUAAUGUGUCAUUUUAUGGCAUUCAAAAUAUUGUCUUAAACAUUGUAUUCAAUAAACAUAAUGCGCAAAAUUAAUAAUUUUGUAUUUUGAAAAAUAGUGGUUAAAGGAAAAGGAGAAAAGACCUGUUCGGCGAUCACUUAUUCCAGGCACAUCAGGCUGAUAUUCUGAUACAAGAGCACUGGGAAGCUCCAUCGCAAUACUGGCGGCAGCGGCAAUACUAACCUGAAAAGAUAAAUGCUUUACAUAUAUUAUAAUGUACCAUGUAACCACAUCUCUGAUCUACAGUUAUUAGUAGUAAAUCAGAUAUAUCAUACCUAAACGCCAGUAGCUGCCCAAAAACAUUUGAGCAAUGCUAUAUAUACACCUAUUUACAAAUGUAAAACUCUCACCUCCUUUUCUGCAUUACUGGGUCUAUGCAAGGGUCUAUAAACACUUUUCUACAUGCAUCAAUACAUAAUCAAAUGGCUCUAUACAUAGUUGUGAAUUAUCUAGUCUUUAGUAUAUAAAAAAGUAUUUUCCAAACUGUUAUUAGUAACUUCCUCAUAGUUCUAUUUUUGGCUUUCAGCAAUGCUGUUUAUUUUGGAUACUAAUUAAGACUUACAUCUGAAAUGGCGUUUAAGAUUUAAUUUAAAAAUGCACUAUGAUUCAUUUGCAUUUAUCAAUUUUCACCGUACCAGAGACUUCAACGGUUUUAAUUACAAUUCAACUUUUAUACUACCAUCAGAAUUAAUAUCCCUUUUCAGCGAGAAGGCAGUGACAAACAUAGUGACGUGGACUACCAAUUAGGAUUAUCAUAAGUUUUUAUUUAAAUAUUGAUUUAUUUCAGUUUAUCUUGUUUCUUUAUUCUUCCCUAUCUUAAUAAGAUAUUAAUCUUAGAAUGCUUGUUUUAUUGAUUAGGAUAAUUUUUAUAUAAGAUCCUAUUAAUGAUUGGAUAUCUUUAUUUUUAGUUUACCGAAUAGGAUAAUUGUUAGUUAUGAAACUAUCGAGUCUCUUUAUUUUAAUUUUAUCAAUUAGGAUAAUUGUUAGGGACAUCUGUGUAGAUUCUUAAAGGGUAGACUUGACUGAAAUUUCAUCAUUAAGAAACAGUUUCCAGAAAAAACUUGUGUUAGUUAUGGAGGGUUUCUGUCAAGGACGAGUCUGCUUCUCACUUUCAUUAAGUCCGUGACUGUAUCCUAUGCAAAGGGCCACAACAGAUAGAAGCACAAGAAUAUUUUUAAAAAAAGACAUACUUUGAAGGGUUGAAAAAUUUGCAAAGUAAGCUCAAAGUUGAUUAGAGAAAAACACCAUUUCUUGUAUAAUGGAUUCAACUUCAACGUGACACACAAACUUAUCAAUUUCUAAUUCUGUAAAACCCAUUACAUUUUUUCUUUUAUUGCUUAAAUAUUGUUUUCUAACAUUUACCUCUUGUUCUUGUUGGACUGAUACUCCUGUCUCUGGAUUAGUGCCUCUUUUGGACUUGUCAUCUGUGUCAUCAGAGAACAAGGUGGUACUGUUUGUAUUGGCAUCACUUGGAUCUGAUGCUACCAGUUCAAACUCAUAGUUCAAGAUGUUGUUCUCCACAACGCCAAGCUGCCAGAAUAGAAAUAUCCAUUUCAAUUUCAAUUUCAAGUUGAGAAGAUCUAAGUUGAACAUUCAAAAUUUAGUAAAGAAAGUCGAUACGCAAAUGUACAUAAACAAUGAGGAAGCCAGCAAGAGAAGGGAAGAGGCUACACAAACAUUCCAUAUUCCAUUAUGAUCAUUCCAUGAAAAGUUGUGUUUAUAUAUGAUGAAGCCAUGCGACAUUUUCACAAGAAAUUAAACUAAUAAUCAAGUCAGAUGCAGUGAUCAUUAAUUCAUACUUUGCUGAACGCUUUGAUUCAAUUUUAACUUACCUCGUCAACAAGUAAAAUAUAGUUGACAGGCCAUACUUAGUAAUACCUAUUUUAUAAUAAAAAUGCUUUUCUUAGUACCUCUCAAAAAAAAAACUUUCGGCCAUAUCCAUCAAGUUGUUUGAGGUGUACAGCACACAGGUGGAUUGAUUAGAUAAAUCUCCAAGCUUUCCAGAAAAACUUAGGAAAUACUAAAUAUAUGCUUUACACAUUUACAUAAACUAUAAUAUUAUGUAAAAUCUGAAUCUUGAACUCUAGUGCUUUUUGAAUGGGGGUGAUGGAAAUAAGGAAGUAAAAAAAGCAAUAAAUGAAGAUAAUUAAAGUGGAAAAUGAGAGUUUGGAUUAGAGAAAAGAAAGUGAGAAUGAAUAGAAAGUGGGAUAAUUUAAUUGAUUAUUAAUAAUUUAAUUGAUUAUUAAUAAUUUAAUUGAUUAUUUAUUAUUAUAAUAGAAAAAAGCGGAAAAAAAUCCAUAAUCGAUCACGGUCACAAUUGAUUAUAUGCACAAAUAACACUUCAAAACACCUAUUUUUUAAUAACAUAAUUGAUUAAGUUGCAUCUUCAACUAUAAACCACACCACCCGCGGCUUUCUCUUCUUUUCUCACCCUCUUGGCAAAGACAUCAAACUCACCAUCCAUCCGUGCCAAUAGUGGAACAUUGGAUGCAAACAGAGGCUAAGAGCAUGUUUGUGUUGUGAGAAUUGCCAUUAUGUUCAGUUGAAUAAUGUCAAUCCUUUGUGAGUGUAGCAUUCAGUUAAACAUGCAUUUGAAAGUUGGACUAUAGUAAACAAAGACCCCAAUUAAAGGUUAUUACAAUGAAAGUCGAAAGCUUGGAAUAGAGAUUCUUUAAGUACACAAGAAAGACAGCCAUCAGUACUUAUUUCAUAUCAGCAUGGAAUAGAGAUGUUUAAGGACAGGUGGAAAACCAAUAAUAAUAUGAAUAAACUCUAUAAAUAAGUUGGGAAAUACAUACCAUGCGUCUCCUUCUCCACAUGUGUGUCCACAAAUUUAAUAGUUCAUUUGUGCGUAAAGGCUUCACUAGGUAAUCUGCUGCUCCAAGCCUCAAACACUUUACAACAACGGAUAUCUCAUCUUGUGCAGACAUCACUUAACCCCCCACCCAAAAGAAAAAAACAUUGAUGAGAAACAGGAUAUAAUUUGCCUAACAUAAAGAGUGAUACAAAUUUCCUUAAGGCUUACUUAUAACAGGGAUUCGGCAUAAUUCUUUAUCCCUUGUUAUGUACUUCAACAACUUCAUUCCUUUCUUUACCGGAAGGUCAACUUCAACUAGUAUCAUGUCUAUAUAUUGCCUUUCCGCAUUCAGUGCAUCAAUUAGUUGCCUAGCUGAUCUUACUGAAGUUACUGUUAAGCGCAAAAUAUCCACACUAGUCAUAUUUUCAAAAGUUGCAGCAAGCAACUCUCUUCAACAUGCUUAAUUAAGGGAGGUUAAAUAUUCCUCUAGGAAUCAUCUUUCAUGUACACCAUGAACAAAAAUGGAUAAGGUCCACAAACGUUGAAAAGCAAAAUAAUUUGGAUCGACCAGCGAACACAGAUAUUUGGACUAAUUACACAAAUUGAUUUUCAAAAUGAAAGCAAGUAACUCCAUAAUACAUAUAAUCUAACAAUUUAAAAUCACCCUUUUCAUAUUUCUGACAUCACUAACCAUUCUAGAAAUGAAAAUUUCAAUUCAACUUUUUUCCAAAAACACUAACAAACCGAGACAUAAUUCCAACUGUUACUAUAUGUCACCCUUAAUCAGAACAAUAAUUAACACAAAAGAAGAAAGUAAAGGGGGGUUUAAUUCAUACCCUGAUAAGAACACCCCAGAAGAAGAGUAAAAACCUCUUCAGAACUCUUGGAAUCGUUGUCACACAACAAAAUCCUCACUUUGCUUCUGUCAAUAAAGCCAUCGCCACUCUUACUAUUAUUCCCACCACAGUUACUUGCUUUAUUGUUCAAAUUAAUAAGUUCCUCGGUCUCAGUUUCAGCAUCCAUCGUAACCCCUCUUCCCUGUACUAGAAAAAACAGCAACCCAAUACCAAACCUCUACUCAAAAUCAAAUAUUGCAAUCACAACCCCAAUCAAGACACAUGAUAUUCAAAACCCAUUUGUUCCCAUCUGGUGAUCGUUGCAGCACCAGCAAAAUCCAAAAGUCUAGGAGAGGCGGCACACGUUAGCAGUUCAGACUAAAAAAACGCUUAAUUUUUUUCUGGCCAAGUAGUGAGACAAGAUGAACCACGAGAGUAUUUUGAGCUGGGGAAUGGGAUUUUCAAUCCGAGGAAGAAACAAAAAAGAUGGUGGUGAGAGCUAACGUGAGCGUGGAGAAGGGGGAGAAAAGGGGCGUAAAAUAGCCAAAAGGGUAGGGGUGACGUGGAAAGGAAGGAGAGAAGAGAGGUGAAAAAGCGAAAAGAAAAUAAAUAGAUAUGAGUGGGAGUGGGUUUGGAUAGUUAGUUUGAGAUAGAGAGAAAGCCACGUCACUCCCAAAUCUCCAUAUUUUUAUGCCGCCACAAUCUCACCAAAAUAUCCCAAAUCUCCAUACCUCUAUUUUUCUUCUCUUUUUUGAUACAUUACCAGUUUUCAGAUUCACUCACUCCAACAAAUGCUUGCAUCAGCAACCAAAUUAACUCAAACCCACCAAUGGUGUUCUUGUUAAAUGAGCCACAACCAUACUUGCUUUAUUAGUGUGUAAUGAGAAUGUUCAUACAGUUACUUAUUUCAAUUUCUGAUGAAAAAAAACAGUUUAAUUAAAAAUGUAAAGUUUAGUUAGUUAAACUAAAAAAUUAAGUAGUCAAGUUCAACUUAAUUCAACAAUUUUUGUAACAGUUUAUAAUGGACACAAUUUGUCUAGUUCAGUUCAAUUUUUAUAUAAAUUAGUUUAGUUCAAGUUAUUAGUUUCUUUAAUUAUUUUUACUUACUUUCUAUAUUUUUUCAAUAUCUAUUAUGAAUAAAAUAUUAAAAAUAAUAAUAAAAUAUAAUUCAAAACAAUAAAAUAAAAAAAUAAUUUAAAAAUAAUAAUUAAUAGUAACAAUAUACAAAUAAAGAAAACACUAAUAAAAAUAAUACUAAUAAUAAAUAUUUUAAAAUAUAUAAUAAUAAUAAUAAUAAUAACAACAAUAUUAUAAUUAAUUAUUUAAUAAAAAAUAAUUUAUAAUAAUAAGAAUAAUUUGAUAUUUCAUAAAUAUAUCGUUUUACUUAUGUAAUAAUUACUAAAUUUUAAUAAUAAAUUUCACUCUGUAAUUCAUCCAAAAAAGGGGGGAAAUAUUUUUAAAAAAUUGACAUAUUAUUAAUCAUUAUUGUUUAGAAAAAGUACCUCUGGAAAGAAAUUAUUAAUAGUCAUCCACUUUACAAAGAGUUCAUUUUUUUGAAUCAAUAAUGCCAUAUUCAUCCUGUAAUUUUAGAUGGAAUUGAAGUAACCAGAAAAUUAAAGGUGUGAACAUCAGUGGAACUACAAACAAGAAAUGGAACCAACUUUACAGCAUAACCAAUAUUUAAUCUAUCAACCUUGGUGUGUAACCAUUAACCUACACUUAAGUUUAAACUUACUUCUAUUUGCAAUGAAUGAUCAAUUUUUUGGCAACUAAUUUAAUCCCUGCAUUCUGCUGAUAGUCAUACGGAUCUAAGGAAAAGAAGGCAUCAACAAAUGUCCCAGGCAUGAACAAGGAACCAAGUUCUUCAGCAUCAAAUCUACUGAAGAGAAGUCUUUGCACUGCUCCAGAAGAUUCUUUCUGAUAUAUUUCUGUGGCAUAAAUGGCAACGUCUGCGACUACUGCUGUAGGUAUGCUGUAAAAUAAAUGUUACAGAAAUCAGAGAAAUUCUAAUUGAGAGAAAUCCUAAUUGUUUGCCAAUUAGAAGCAUCAAAGCAAAAACUUUGGAUUAAUUUCUCUGUCCAUAGUUGAUGGUAUUCUAGAAGUUAUCCCUACUUCAUGAUUUUAACAACUUAAUGUCAUCCCAUUAUCGAUAAAAAGCAUAAAAACAAAAAGGCUCCCCAUUAUAUAAGGUUCCAACCAAGUGGGAUCCAGGGAAAGCAGAUGUACGCAAGCUUUACCCUGGCAAACAUGGAAGCUGUUUCCAAGGUACCCAUGACCCCAGGCGCUAGGUCACAACGCUGUAGCCUUACAGUUGCGCCAAGGUUCACUCUCAGAGCACCAAAACAAUAAAAGCAUAAUCUAAUGAUUUAAUAAAACCAGGAAAAUGGACACAAUAUUGGAGAAAGCUUUCUAGGAUGCUUCAAACCCCAUCUCUGACACGGUGAUCAGGUUAAACUGAAUGCCCGGUUGUGAGAAUAGUGUUAUCCACCAUUAUACAUGUCAUGUGAGGCAGUAAUUUAUUUCGAUAAAAUUAAAUAACAGGUCAAGAACUUACUGCAAUCUGACAGUAGGAUAGUUGAAGAAACCUUCUUUCCUAAUGACAGCAGGCCUCCAAUCAGAGAUGCUACCAGAAUCCACUGUUAACUUCUGAGCAACGCGGUCACAUGCAUCAAGAACAUUACAUAGAAUUGGUGAUGAAUCAACCACAAAACUCAAUCGUGGCCGGCCAGCAUUAUCAGAAAACCUUGUGUUUAUUCCAAACCGCACUUUCAAAUCAGUACAAUGAAGAUGAAAUGGGAAACCUUCAUGCAGUAAUUCUAUCCUUUGACUGCCAUGAAAAGAUGGAACAAGAGAUGCAUCAAUAGAAGGGACACAUACUCCAUCAGGUUCUAAAACAAGAAUAGAGCUGCUGCAAGGCUGAAACAUAGAAGACGAGGAAGCCAAAUCAGAUGACUCUUGCAUGGGUUUUUCCACCAUGGAAACAUCUGACUUAAUGGGUUCUCUAUUUAUUUCUUCCUCCAGAGCACUCAAAUUAAAAGGAUCCGAUUGAACAAUAUUAGGAUCUGCAGUAUUCUGGGCAUCCCUUGUUGGGCUGCUCAUUGCAAAAGAAAUUAUAGGAUGAAUUUUGUCUUUGGAUUCAACAGCAGGAGAUUGUAAUACAGAACCCUUAUUAAUAUUUAAUAAGCCCCCCUGUGAUGGAGAUUUCCCAUUACUGCGGCUUCUUGUUGUAGCAUUUGGUGAAACCCAACUGUUUGCAGUGAAUAUGUCCGGGAGACUUGAUUCCUAUAAGGACAGAGAUUAUCAUUAUUUUUAAGACAAGUUCUCAACUAAUGCUGCAAAAUACAUCACAAUAUCAGGCACAAAAGCUUCAAAAUUCAUAUAUACAUAAAGAUAGUAUAUUAUGGAUGGUCUGAUAGCGGGUGACUUGAUAAGCCCAAUAAACUCUCGUUAUAAUAUGUUCUUAAUGAUUAUGAUACCAUAUUAAGAAGUUGACUUUAAACUUAAGUCAACCUUAUAAACCCGACUUGUAAGGUGAGGUUUUUGCAUCACUUGUAUACUAUGAAAUUUUUCCAUCUCUAAUCGAUGUGUGAUCUCGAACAUAAUAAAAAAAAAUCCUUAAAAUGCCUUCUUGAUUCAGAAGACAGUGCAAGUAUUAGGGUUCCUCGAUUGAACAUUUUAUAAGGAUAUAUGAUAUAUCCAUUGCUAGAGUUAUACUCAGGUUAUAUAUUUAAGACUUGUGUCUAAUAAGAACUUCUUAUUGGAGUUUGUUGACAUAGUAUAAAAUAUAAAAUGUUGUGUUUUAAAUAAAACUUGGGUCCUAAGAAUAAAAAAACAUUUUUAUAUCUUAAAAAAUAUUUAUUUUUGGCAACAAUCAAAUAAAAAAUUAAUUGAAGUGUGGGUCUUAUAAGACCCUUGCAUUAGAGUAAAAGUUGCAAGGAGGUCGUAAGAGUGAUAUAGCAUGGUAAGACCUGUAAAAAGUAAAUCAAAACCUCAUAUAAUAACUCUUACAAUGGAAAUGGCUUAAAUAAUCUAGUGAAGCUACGCAGUAAAACCUGAUUCCAUCCACAUGUAGGGCACGUGUUAGGGUAAUCUUGCCUAUGUAAAUUGUAGAUUAACGAUAGAUUCAAUACCCCCGUCCCCAAACAGACACAGCAUGAAAAUUUUAAUGAAUGUGACCGUACAGUGAUUGAACCUAUGUUAAAAGCCAGAAAAUGCAUCCAGGUAUUUAAAGAAUUAGAUAAGAAAAAACCAAGGCAAAGAAUCAUCACUGGUAAACUAAAGGGAAAAAAUAACAUGAUUAAAGUGUGCAAAACCAUGCUAGCCAAUUUCUAUUAGCAUUUAUCUCCUACUACAAAAGAGAUGUCAUAUUACAAGACCAAAAUGAGAAAAAAUGCUAUUAAAUUCUAACAACAUGCUUUACGUCAAGAAACUCAAGUAACCACUAGUAUUUACUUGAUGACUUCAAUCAAAGAGCUGAUGAACUGAACUGAUGUAAAGUUAAGAAAUAAUUUGGUUCUUCCUUCUUAGGUAGGAUUCUGAAAAACCUUAACUAUGACAAAAGUUGUUGUUAUAUCAACAACUGAGCUGUGUUGCCAAAUAAAAACAAGACUUUGAAUUGAAAUUUACCAAGAAUAGAACCGUUGCACAGUAUUUGAGGACCUCAAGAUUCAUCCGAACAUCAUCUAAGCUCCUGCACUCCAGAAACAGCAGAUAUCAGAAAAGAUAAAGUCAAUACAUUGAGAAGGUGGCAUAUGACAACAUUUCAUUAGCGUGUUACCUAUGUGUCUGGCGUCCAAGUCCAAAAUAAGUAGCAAGAGUAGCCAUCUGCGUAAACAUUAGUUACAUAAACGCAUGUCAUAAAACUUAAAUAACCAGCUGAAAGGAGAAAAUUUAAAUGGUAGAGCGAAAAGAAAGAAAUGCAUGCAAGGAACAGUGACAUGUAACAUGUUAACAUUAUUAUGAUUUAUAAAUUAUACAAUACCUUCAUGUCACCAGCUCUUCUUCCAAACUUUUGAGUCAACAAAACUAGAGAGUCAAUAGUCCCCUUAGGUUCAGGUGGCGGCUGAUUAAUCUCAGCAAAAGCAUCUCUAAUCCGAACACAGUCGAACCUUAUGAUAUUAUGACCCGCCCAAAUCCUCCCUACACAAAUUCACCACGCACAAAACAUCAAAACGUAACCAUACACGUUUUUUUUAUUCUAAAAAAGAAACAAUUUAAGCAGAGAGGCGAACAAAACAAAACAUACCGUGAAGAAGGUCGUAGACGAGGUGAGCAAUGUCGGCGAAAGUCGGCGCGGUGGAGACGGCGUUGGCGGUGAUGCCAUUGCAACGCUCGGACAAGGGGGAGAUGACGGAGAGAUUGGCGGGUCGGACGAGAGUGGAAUAGUUGUUGAGCUCCGUGAGCGUCUUGGGGCAAACCAAAAUGGCUCCGAAUUCGAGAAUGGCAAAACCCUGGCCUGUUCGAGUGGGAACGCUGGUCUCCACAUCGAAGAACACUAUCUCUGAUCGGUCUUCAACGGGAGAACCCAUUCACAGAGAAUUCAACUGAACAGUGUUGUGUUGUAAUUUGUAACGAUAACUCAGAAUUUGUUUGUUUGAUUGAAAUUAAAACGAGGUUUUAUAGUGAAGGGGUGAUGUUUGGGCUGGCAUAGGCCCAUGAAUGAGUUGAGGUUAUUACUAACGCACCAAUGAGGUUGAAUGACGGUGCAGUCUUGGAAUAUCUUUGCCAGCACUUUAACCAAAACACCAAGCAAUGAAUAGUUUACUGAAUGUGUUUUUGAUCUCGUUAGGAGUUACUCAUUAGUUAUGCUUUGCUUCUUCCAAUAAUUUUAUGUAUGGAAUCAUUUCACGUUGUGUUAAACUAACCAUGUAAAACAUCAACCACUGUUAUUUUUAUCAUUGAAAAGCUUCUCCUUCUCCUCAUCACAUAUAUUGCCAAUAUAUCUGCCAAUUAUUGUGUUUGAUUGAUUUUCAAGUAACUAUACACUACCAUGUAUUAAUAUCUCUUAGUUUCCUUUACAGUUUUGCACUUUUUAAAGAUUUUUUGUUUCUGUUUCAUUAUCAUUUUUAAAGUUUAAGAUAACAUUAAAUUUUUUGUUUGAACUCUUAUUUUUUAUUUAAUUUUUAAUUAAUUUUACAUACAUGUAUUCAUUAUAAAUAAAAUAAUUAUGGAUAUAUAAUUAAAAUCAAUUAAAUUUUUUGUCUUCACUGUUUCUUAAAAAAUUAAAAAAAAGAAGGGAUGUAAUAUAUAAUUAGUGGUGAAUUAUGUCUCAUUUGGAAGGUUACUAGAAUUAUCUUUUUAACAUAAAUUCACUACACUAAAGAUAAUAAUUUAUGGUACUUCCCUAUAUUCCUUUAUAAUUGUUGUUUUUUUAUUUUAUUUUUAUAUGUUAUUUUUAAAUUUUCAAGAUAAAAUAAUUUUAUUAUGCACUAAAAAUUGAUUAAACCGAAAAGAAAAACCUGAAAGAAAUAUAAAAAAUAACUUAUUUAAAAUUGUAUUGAAAAUAAAAUAAAAAAAUAAUUUUUUAAUAAUUAUAAUGAAAAGAAUCUUAAACUACUAUUAUAUAGAAAUAGACUACUAAAACAUUUUAAAUUUAAGAAACACACGAAGAAUAUAUUUACAGUACAUUUAUUUUAUUAAUUGCAAUGGGUUCUUAAUUUGUCAACUUCCUUUUAAACAUUUGAAUGACAUUGUUUUAAAGAAAAAUCUGAAAGAAAUAUUAAAAAAUUAUUUUAAUGGCAUUGUUUUAAACAUUUUCCAUUGACUUGCAGGGAACUGUUUUUUUUUCAAUUUUCAACUAGUUCUUAGACCAAUUCUAUUGUAUAAGUCACUUCUCUAGUUCAAAUGGACCUAGCGUAAAAUCAGUUUUCUUUUAUUGAACCUGUUGAUCCAGUCCGAUCUUCAAAACGUAGGAAAUAACUCAACAAAAUCAACCCUGUUGAAGAAAAAAGGGUCUUGCCUGACAAGUUUUUCUUGAAAUUUAGGGUACGUUGUGAGAGUGGUUGAAGGAAGAAGAAAACUAUUAUGUAGACUGCAGUAAGUGUAUUUAUACUGCAUGUAGCGAGCAUACACUAAUAUAUCAGAUACAGAGCAAGAUAUAUGUUCUAAGUGACAACCAUAGACCGGACUAAAACUUACCGAAAGAACGCUGCCAAGAAGAAUCAAAAUGGACAGUGGGCAAAGUACAGGAAGGGUGGAGCUUCCCUUGCUCGAAGCUUCUACCAUGCUAACACACGCAUUUAGAAUCCACUGGUGGACAUCCCAAAAGAAAGUACGGAUGGACCACAGAGAAUGCUAGUGAUAAGGGGUGUGUACCUUGGAUAUACCUUGAAAAGAGUCCGUAACAGCCAGUACAAGAGAAGAAGGAUUUUGAAAUUUUAAAUAUAGAAACCAGAAAACGAAAAGAAUGGAUCAUAUACAUACAUUAGUAGUGAACUAAUUGCAUUACCUGUUUCGGUUUCCUUGUUAUAGCGUAUUCUAAUAAGAAAUUUGACCCGCUUACUUUUGUCCUGUCUUGAGAACAGGUCAAUGUUUCUGUCAUCCCAGCAAGAAUUCAGCAUCAUUUUCAAAGACACAGCACGAGAGAAGGAAACUUGUAGCAAAGUGAAAAGCAUUCCUCCUCAGAUUGUUUGCUUAAUCAGAGUGAUGGCAUAGUAUCACCAUGGGUAGCUAGCACUGGUGGCACUAGCAGUUAUCACCAGCUACUCCAUAAACAAGAAAAUAAGCACCGGCCUUCUGAAAAGAUGCUAAAAAAUUAAGUUCUUCUUACACGUCCUACACUUCAAUGUCCAAGAAAACAUUUAUCUCUGAUCCAUAGCCUUCCAGAUUGGCUUGCUUAGUGACAUCAUACAGGAUUUCAUAGAUAAAAUGUGAAUGCUUAUGAGUCAUGUCGCCCGCGACAAAAUUAUGGACAACUCCAUUAAUUUGGAUCCAACUUCUGCCUGGAGGCUUUUUCACACCCAUACCAAUCAUUUUCUGCCUCACUGUAAUGACAUCCUGCCACCUUUGACCAAAAGCAUAUAUGUUUGACAAAAGCACAAGAUAGCCUGCAGCUUGAUCAACGCUGAGCUCGGGUACUAACUUGUUUUCCACUUGUGAUGCUAGAUCUGAAUUCUUGUGAAUAAGACAACCACCAAGAAGGGCACCCCAAAGGGCAUCAUUAGGCUUUAAGGGCAUAGUUUCAAUUAGUCCACGUGCUUCAUCUAAGAAUCCAGCACGGCUCAAGAGAUCAACCAUGCAUCCAUAGUGUUCAAUCCUCGGGUUGAUUCCCCAAGUAUGCUUCAUGGAUGCAAAAAUUUGGCGUCCUUCGUCCACAAACCCUGCAUGGCUACAAGCACAAAGAACUCCGAUAAAGGUUAUAUCAUCAGGACUUACUCCAUUUACUCCCACACCAUCACUAAGCAUAGUUUUAAACAGAUCAAGGGCUUCCUUCCCCAGUCCCUGCUUCGCAAAAGCCAUGAUCAUGCUAGUCCAAGACACAGUGCUUUUCCAAGGCAUAUUGACAAACACUCGAUAUGCUUCAUGAAUGAUUCCACAACUAGCAUACAUGUGUAUGAGAGCAUUGCUCAAGCGCACUGAGGGUUGCUGGUUCCUGGCUACAAACCACUGUUGAACAUACCAAUGGAUCCAUCUUCCCAACUUCAGAUCCCCUAAUUCAGCACACGCAGACAAAGCCGCCACCAAUGCCACCUGGUCCAAUUCCACACGUGCCCUCCUCAUCUCACCAAACAACAACAAAGCCUGUCUGCACUUCCCAUUCUGAGCACACCCAGCAACCAUGGUGGUCCAAGACACAACAUUCCUACAUGGCAUCGCGUCAAAAACCCUUAUAGCCCCAUCAAAAUCGCCACACCUGACAUACCCAGCAAGUAUAGAAUUCCAGCUAACAACACUUCUCUCCGCCAUAUCAUCAAACACAUGGCGCGCUCGCUGAACGCCAUCAUGCCUCGCAUAGAAAUUGAUCAAAUUUGUGUCCACAAAGACAUUGGAGCAAUACCCUUUUACUAAAACCAUGGCAUGCAGCUGUUCCCCUUCUUUUUCCAACCCACCUCGCGCACAUGCACUCAGGAGAGACGAGUACGUGACCACAUCAGGCAGAACCUCAGCAGACAGCAUGUGGCUGUAGCAUUGGAUCGAUUUCCAAGGCAUGUGGCUGCGAGCGUAGCCUCUGAUGACGUGGUUCCAAACGGUGGUUGUUGGGUUGUCCAUUUUGGCAAAAAGGUGGUGGGCAUGUCGGAGAUGGCCAGAGGCAAUGUAGAAGGAGAGAAGCUUGGCAAUGAGAAUGUUCUUGUGAGAGAGACCGUUGAGAAGUACUUGAGUGUGAAUUUGAAUGAGGGCGUUUACGCUGUUGCAGUUCUGUAAUAGGAACAGCAAGUGCUCUUGAACAACUCUUUUGCCGUUUGCAGGAACCAUGCCUUUGAUCAACAUGGAACCUCCAGAAAUAAUCAACGCAUUCUAAACCACGUCACGUCUUUCAUCUCCUUCUUCUUAUUCAGAGGAACACCAACACUUCAAACAAAAUACAUUAGUUAUAUGUAUUGCUUAUAUCUCACAUGCAUAUCUAAAUCUAUAAAUGUAAAAUAUUAACAGGAAAAAAAAUUAAAAAUUUAAGAGAAUAAAAAAUUUUCUCAAAACUAAAUUUUAUUCAAUUUAUAUUAACAUGUGGUUGACCAUGUAUUGAUUAUAAAAAAAAAAAAAAAGGAUAAGCAUAUAAAAUGAAAGAUGUUUGAAAAAAAAUAAAAAUGCAUUACUUAAUUCCUUACAUGAUGUUGACAAGCCAAUUCCUUAAUUUUUUUGUAGAGUUAUAUGUUGUUAUGACCCAUUCUCACUUUGUUUAAUAAAUAUAAACUUAAAAGUCAACAAAAUUUACAAAUGUCACCAUCUUCACCCACUGUACUCAAAUGCAAAUAAAGAACAUGUUUAGCCAAAAAAUAUCCAACACAUCCCUUCAUUGUACAAAUUGCAUUUAUUUUAAGAUUUAGAAUUCCAAAUAUAACCAUAAUUUAUUGAUCUACGUAUCUCCUUCUGUGUGUCCCUUUUAGAAAAAAAAUCUCCUGUAACUUCAUGCAAAUCUUCACAGUUUUAUUUUAAAAGAAAGAUGAAACUAAAUAGAGUCAAUAUAUUUGAAAUCAUAAAAAAAUAUGAUAUUUAUCAUAGAAGCAGUCAAUAGAAAUGACACAGGAGUUUAGUACCAAAUUUUAAUAUCAAUUAAAAAAUAAUAUUUAAUAGAAAAUGACACAGGAGUUUAGUACCAGAUAUUAAAUACCAACUAAAAAAUAAAUAUAUUUAAUAGAAUAUAAAUGAAUGUCAAACUCAUUUUAAAAAUGGUUUGUUUUUAUAAAAUUAAGUUUAACUUACUUUUUAAUAUAAUAUUAAAAAUUAAUAUAAUGAGAGUUAGUUGAGAACUGUGAAUCAUUCAUAAAUAUAUAAUUAUAUAUACAAUUAAUUUUUUUAUAAAAAUAAAUUAAGAAAGUUUACUUUUUUAUAUUUGAAAAUACUUUUUUUUAAAAUAUUUAUUACUUCUGAAUAAUUAUCAUUUUUAAAUUAUAAAUUAAUUUUAAAUAAUACCCAUACUUUUUGUUAUUUUAACCUACAAUGCAUCAAGACAUUAGUUAGUGCUUUUAUAGUAUAGAUAAAUGCUAACACAUCAAACAAUACGUUAUUUGAUGCAAAAUCUGAAUUGAAAAUGUGGUUAGAGGUACCUACCCCUUAGCAUCAACAUUAAUAUUUGUUAAAUGAAUAUUUGCAUCUCCAUCAAAUUAAACUCAUUAUUAUUAAAAACACUUUGGAUGUACUUUUAUAUAUAUAUAUAUAUAUAUAUAAAAGAUAAUAUUAAAAACACUUUGGAUGUACUUAUAUAUAUAUAUAAAAGAUAAUGCAUAAGAACCCUUCUUUUUUAAUUUUUUUUUCUUUUAUAAAAAGUUUUCAUGUUUGACAUCUCAGUUAGGCUGCCACCUCAAGUAACAACAAUCAUUUGUCAUCACAUGAAAAAAUAUUAUUAAAAAAAAAUAUGGGAGGACUAGACCAAAACUCAUAUGUUUAAUAAAAACGAUACAUAGGUAGACUAUACCUAAUUCUAAAUUAGGUAUAGUCUAUUACAAACUAGAUGAAAGUCUAUUGUACCAAUGAAAGGAUUCUCUAUGAAUAAAUCUUAAAUUAGCAUCAGCAUACACAUUCCCUUCACGAAAAAUAUGAGUAACCCUAAACCUGAUUUUUCUACCGUAAUUAAGACAAGUAUUCAAUCGAUUACGGAGCAUCCAAGGAACAUUUGUCCUAGCACAAACCAAGGCAGAAUCACAUUUCAGUCAGACAUUAGUAAGACCCAACUUUUGAGCUUCCUCCAAAGCAUAUAUAACUCCAUAAAAUUCAGCAACCAAAGCAGUAUGAACGUCAAGAAACGCAAAGAAAGCUCCAAUAAACUCCUCCGUACUCCCACGGAAAAUACUUUCACAAGCGGCAAAACCUGGAUAACCCCUAGCAGCCCCAUCAGUGUUAAUUUUAACCCAGCCUGGUGAAGGAAACUCCCAUCUAACAGGAAGAGGACGUAGAACUUUACCAGUACGAGUGUUAAUACCAAAAACCUUGAGCACAUUGAAAUCGAACAUAUCAUUCUUCAUUGAAGCUUUAGAUGAAUUACCCACUAGACAAGUUAAAUCUUUAAUAACCAAAAUAGCCCUAGAAACCUCAAUCUUAUCCUGAAAACGAGCAUAAUUCCUCAUACGCCAUAUCAUCCAAAUAGAAAAAGUGAUCACAGCUAGCUUAAUCAAUUUAACCAACAAACUACCAACACUCUUAAUAAAAGAAAGAAGAUCAUCCUUAUUAGAGAAAUCAUAAGUAGGAAAAAUGUGUUGAACCCAACUCCAAAUACGCAAAGCAUUAACACAUUAAAAAAAAAAUGUUGAAUAGAUUCAUCGUGCUUUUCGCAAAGCGUACACAUAGAACAAAUAUGCAGACCUUUAUUUUGAUUAUGUUGAUCUGUAGGAAGCCGCCCAUGAAAAACUUUCCAAAGGACAAAAGUUUUGGAAGGCGAAAUAUAUGAAAACCAAAUAAAUUUACCCCAACCACAGAAAACCCAUGGUUUCGAGAAAAAAGUCCUAGCUAAUUUAAGAGUGAGACGACUAGACUCAUUUAGAAUUCAAUUAGAAAUAUACUGUUCCGUCAUAACCAUGAUAUGACUAAAAAAAUUAAGAUCUACUGUAAAGACAAUGGUCCAAUCACCACAUGUCCAAAACUGUGAGAACCCUUUUUUUUUACUUUAACAUUACAACUCUUACUCUUAUUAUUUUAAUAUUUUAAUAAUAUUUAAUUAUAAAUAUAUUUUUAUUAUGUUCUUUUAUUAUUAAAAUAAGGGUUGGAUACAUUUUAAGAUGUCAAAAAUACAUCUUUGUUUUAUAAUAUUCGUAUGGUGGAGAAAAUGAAAAUUUAAAUUCGUACCCUUUUACAUUUAUAAAAUAAAAUAUGAAUUUAUUUACUUCUGUAUAGGAUUUUCUAAAGUUAACUUUUCAAAUACUUUUUUUUAUCUAUUUUAAUAACCAGGAUUUCAUCCCAUAGUAAAAAUUCAUCUCAUCCUUAUUUCAUAUCCAACAGAUAUGAUUUUUUUUUAUAUUUAUAUCCACUUUUUUAUUAUUCCAAAUAUAAAGAGGAAAUGUUUUAACAAAAUAAUUACUGUCUAUAAAAGUUAUCCAAAAGUAAAACUUUUACUUUGAUGUGAAUUUUCAUAGUUUAAAAUUAAAGAAAGUUACAUGUACAAAUUAACUUUCUUCAAUUCAUAACUUUUUUUAAUAUGCAAGUAAGUCUUUUUAAAUUUUUUGAACAUUUAUAUUAAAAUAAUAAUUUUAUUUAUAAAUAAUUAAAAUAAAAAUAUUAACUUUUAAUAAAGGUCAAACAAAACGGAAAGGGGAAUAAUUGUUUAAGAAAGUUAGUUACAGAAAUACUCCUGUGGGUACAAAUUUUGGCAGUUGGUUCAGAGAAUGAUACAGUAUACACUGUUUUGGUUACCUUUUUGGAAGAGGAUAAGAAACAUAAUAAUAAAUAUUUUUGUUAAUUUAAAAGAUUUAUAAAUGAAUUAAAUAUUAAAUAAAAAAAUAGAAGUAGAAAGGAUAAAACAUAAUGAAAAAUAUUAUGAGAUAGGAAAUUGGGUGGAAGAUGAAGAAGCCAUGGAUGACAUGAGCAAAGGGUUAUGUGAUAGGAGAAGAUGAGAGGAUUAUCAUUAAUUGUAGCAUUAAUUACCAAUUAAAUACAAUCUUUGGUUGGCACCAACCACUCUUUCUCUCUCCCAUGCAAAUCUCAUGACCUUCUACCUUCUCCAUAAUUCUAUAUUCUAUUAACUAUAAUAAUAAUAAUACCAAUCAUACAACAAAGUACUACUACUAUUAUUAUUUCUUUUCUUAGUAAUACUAUUUUUUCUUUACCUUAUCAACCCCAUCCAAUUCCAUCAUCUUCAUCACUUUCUUUCUUUCAAUUGACGUUACCUUACCUCACCUUUCAAUUCAUUGUUUGUUUCCAAUCCUUUCAAAUCCCAUCAUCACCAUCAUCACAUCAUCUUAUCACCAAUACACCAACAACAAGAACAAAAGCCAUGACCUUGCACUUUGCAACUCUCUGACAAAUAAUCUGAUUCCCAGUUUGGGUUGGGUUGGGCUCUAUGGAAACUGAAAUAAUCCAGGGACCUUGGGGAUUUCGCUCUCUCUCCAAAUUCAUAGUGUGUACCAUUUCUGGGGCCCUCACCGUGUGUUUUGCCAUUGGUAAUUUAUGCCUUUUCGUUUUAUUUCCUUCAGGGAUAUGUCAAUGCUUUGUUUUGAUUAGUUGGGCGUCAAUAAAAUGAUUCUCGUCGCCCUAAAGUUGGAGUCUUUUUUAUAUUUGCUUUUGACUGUUAAGGUGGGUAAUUCUCUAGGCUUCUUGUUAAGUAGAAAAUAGAAAUAGAAGAUUAUUAUAAAUCAAAUUUAUGUUGCAUUUUUUAUGUGGCAAAACUUGGAUGGGGUUACUUGGGUGUUAUUAGUUAUGUUUUCCUAUUGAAAUUGGGUUUUAUUCAAUAAUGAAUAUGAUAGCUGCUUACAUUAAAGGUCAAUAUAGUUUUUGUCAGGUGAAACUCUAAUAUGAUUAUAAACAAAUUACUGAAAGCGCGUAAGUAUGUGUAUUUAAGUUUUUUUUUCCCUUCUUAUGAUCUGAAUUGGUGAUAAUGAAAUUAUUGUUGGUUUGAAGCUGUUGGUGAAGGUGUUAUUGUUUAUAAGGGUGGAUACUAUUCAGAGUGGAGAAUGUUUUCCUGGCCAGUAAUCACUAUUUUAGUGUUGUUAGCUGUGAUGUUUGAUUACAUUGGUCUCAUGUGGUGUUUUAUGGUUGCAGCUGGUGCAAUGACAGGAGCUAUAGCUGGAGCUUUAGCAGCUAAGGCUACAAGGAGUGGUCUUCUCCGGGGAGUUUCAUUGGGUGCCAUUGCCGGGUCUAUUCUCUCAGUGGAGGUGUUGGAAGCUUCCCGUGCAUACUGGUGUAUGGAACAAACUGGCUCACGGGGAGCAUCAUCUAUGGUUGGUAGUCAUUUUAUUGUUGAUUUUCCUUGGUCUCUGAGUAAAAUGAUUUGUAACUUUCAAAAUUAUGAGGCGCAAAAUGGUUACCCUUUAUAAGUUAUGCCUUGUACUUGCUGGUGGUAGUCUGUUCAUUAAGUAACAUUUUUAGAGCGAUUUAGCCCUCAUGCUUGGCAGUCUUAAUUCGUAGUUUAAAGCCAAUGUUUUAACAUUUAAAUCCAGGCAGAUUUCAUAGAGGAACUUGUUCGGGGGAGGCUUGUUGAGGAAUCCCUUACACCUGCCAUUUUAACUGCCUACAAUUUGCAGGUAAUUUUCCUUUACCUCUCGCACCACAUUUACCUUUUGAAAGCAAUAGUUGUAUAUGUCCGUGUAUAGAUAUAAUAGUCUUUGGUGCAUCACCCAAUGUUUGAAUUGGCAAUACUGAGUGCCCUUGGGUAUGGCCAAUUUGUGAUAAACUUAAUCUUGUAAGGCUAGUGAGUAAUGCCACUUGUUUUAGAUAUUUUUCCUUUGCCAUAUGGAAGCAGGCAAAAUGACAGUUUUUUUCCUCCUCGUCUUGGCUAGUAUAAUGACCAUAUUCACUAUUCUUGAAUUAGAGAUGAACCUCUUUUUCUUCGAAUUCAACUAAAAUUGGUUUCUGUCAGUUUGAUCAGCUUCUGCCAAAUUCAUGUAAGCUGUUUAACAAUUGAAAUCUGACUAUUGAAGUUAAAAAAGAAGGACAAUCAAACUAUUCACUUUGUAAAAAAUGUCUCUAAACAUUUAGAAUGGAAAUCAGAGUACAGUGAUCUGCUUAUAUUUGAUAUUUUGCUAAACAUAUAUAGGACGUAGUAAAGCAAAAACUAAGAUUUGACGGCUGAGAGCUUGUUUUCGUAAAGGAAAUCAUCCAUAAAGGGUACAUUAAUCAAAUCAGGAUAUAGUACCAUGGUUAAUCUAAAACCCUUUGAAGGAUUUUGUAUUUUAUUUAUCUGAAAAUUUAAGCCAAGUUGGAUGGGGGAAAACUCUAGGUAGGACAAGGAAUUCCUGAAUCAACAAUUGUCUCUGGAUGGUGGAACAUCUAGUAUCUUCAUCCCAAAUUUGCAAUCAAAAGUUAUAACUCGUGACCUUGUUGGAUUUUCAGUCCAUAGUUGGACGUCAAGAACUUCUCUCUCAAUACAGAGUGCAAAUCCUAUAAUGCCCGGUAUUCAAAAUCUGUAGACACAUGAACAAGUUUUGAAUCGUGAAUUCAAAGAUUCUGAUAGCUAUGAACUCAGAGGCAGUUUUAAUGCAUUGCUGUUUAAGGUUGCACUUGAGAACUUGAGGUGUGUCGGUUCACUGUGAACUUUGCCAACUAUGCCCAGUUGGUGGAAAAUUACUGUACAGAGGAGAAAAUUAGAGAGAAAAAAAAUGAAAUAACUGUAUUGUAAAAGUUGUUGCAUAAUAAUUAUAUCCACUUUAUAUAGUAGUAGAGAGAUUAUUUGCCACACCAAUUGAUCACAGGUGCAUCUGUAAGACUAUAACUAAAUGAUACGUAACCCACCGAAAUAUAGUACUAUCAUUGUCAUUGGAGCUAUAUAUGCACAUGAUUUUAUUUAACUUUUAAUGUUUUUUAACGACACAACUUUCAUUUUAUGCAUGCUUUCCACUGCUUUUGUAUGUUAACGAUUGUAAAUCUCUUUACGCUCUUGAUGAUUUUUGUUAACCCAUGUGUACACCACUUUGAUUUUAUUAUAAACAAAGAUUUUUAUCAAAGCUUAUUUACAUAUAACUAAUAUGAACAUUUGUAAAUCUUUGCUGAGUUGAUUGUUUAGUACUUUUUGUCGUUAAGAAGUCCAUUAUAAAUUCCGUAGUUAGACUAUCUUAUCUCGCAGUCUGUUGGAUAAUGACCAGUUUUUGACGUUUGAUCAUUCGUUUUAGUUUGAGCAGGUUGGCAUUGCUAAUGCAGGCUAUGAUGAGAUUCAUGAUGUUCAUGGCUUAGUGGCACCCAGAGGAUUGUCAGGAGAUUCACUGAAGAGGUUACCGCACCAUAUGAUCUCAAAGGAUAUGAAGGCAGAAAAUACUUGUUGUACAAUAUGUUUGCAGGUGAUUAUUAUUAUUUUUUGUUACCUGUGUGAAAACAAUUUAAAAGAACAAAGAAUAUUGAUAAGGAGGCUCUGAAAAUACUAAAUAUUAAACCACCAGUAAGUAGGUAUUAAAUUGAUUCCACAUUUGAUUUUUUUAUGAAACUGUUCAUGUAAUGGUCUCAAUAUCUAGAAGUGAAAUUUACAGGAUAUUGAAGUAGGUGAAAUUGCAAGAAGCUUACCUCGUUGUCACCAUACAUUUCACUUGAUAUGUGUGGACAAAUGGCUUGUAAAGAAUGAUUCCUGUCCUGUGUGCAGACAGAAUGUGUAACUUGUUCCUUGGGUAUUCUGAGAUUAUCUUGACGGGAAAAUGUAUAAGUUGUAUUAUUUGUUUAUAUAAAUUGCAUUAAGUUUUUUACAGUGGACUUUGGCAUUUUGUAGUAUUCUCUGUUGUAAUUAUUAAUAAGACUAUUUGGUAUGAAAGCCAAUGCCCAAUAACAAAUUUUUGGGAGAAAAAAAAUGAGAAAAUGGUAUAUGUGAAUGAAUGAUUCUCUUGUUUCUUUCGUAAACACGUUACAUUUUUCUAAUUACAUUAAUUCAUUGUACAGUGUUCGGUAUUAUUUUCAAAUACGAGAAUCCAAGACUAACGCGCUAUAGCAGAAAUUUCAGCCCAUGAAUAAUUUAACUAAUGAUAUUGAUUUUGCUGGCGUGUGAAUUUGUCGUGCCACUUCCUUGGUAUUAUUCUUUAAGUAGUUUUUUCAAAGUCACCAUCAGGCCAGCUAAACCACCAUUCUCUUAAAGCAACAUGGCUAUUGGUCAAGAAUUGUAGGCACCUAUCUGUACAUUGUUUCCAACAAGUAGGUUUUGUAUAUAUUUUAGCACGGGACACCAGUUUUAGCAGUAAUAUAUGUAAUAGAUAUAACAUAAGAUUAACUUUGCGUGUAGGCCAAUGGAUAGUCAAUUGUUAGCUUAAGAAUUUGGCAGCAUAGCGGUAAGAUCAAAUGUAUGAAAAUUUGCAUACACGCUCUCUAAUAAGAAUUUGAAGUUAUUUGGUCAUUAUUCCUUUUUCAAGGGGUCCUUUCCUCUAUCAGGAUCUAGAAGAGCAACUGACAAAAGAAACAUUUAUUUUGCUGGUUUUCUCAAUACUUGUAUUCAAAGAAAGCACAACUGCUUUACAAUAUGGGGAAUAGAACUGAACUGACAGGUUACAGGCUGAUAUAAACUAUAGGGCUUUAACUAGAAUUUUGUCCCUAUAUGAUUAUACACAAACUACGCAACACAGCAGCCGCCUUACUUGACUGAUUUCUUAUAGUUAAUUCCAGAGAAAAGCAAUUGCCAGUGGUGACAGCAAGCCAGGCAACAUAAUAGUGCCCUAUAGGCCGCCAAUCCAUGAAUAAUGUCUGCCAGGUUCAAACAGAGCAAAACCAGGAGUGAGAAUGACAGUUAAAAUGAGAUCAUUUUGUGUUUCCAGCUGAGCAUUUGAAGCAGUAUUGCAUAAUUAUCAGUCAGAUACAUGUGAUAAUUGAGUCAGAAGUAUAACAUUAUUAUACAAUAUUUUUCACAUGGAAAUUGGCUCGUGGUCGUAAGCAAUGUCUGCCAUUAUUUUUAUUUCUCAUAUUGGCAGUCAAUUUUGUUUGUAUUCAACCAUCCCAUCAGAAAAUUGAUAUGUCAAACUUUAAAGGAGAGACCUCUAUGUUGCGAAAAUGCAGCUUACAUUGGAGCGUAGAAUAUUGCACACAUUCACACAGCAACUGCUUCAGGUCUUUUGCUGGUUUUGAUUCCUCUUAUAGCUACAAGGGAGUUGAAGCCAGGAAAAUCAUCAAAAUCACAAUGAAUUUACAAUCAUUGCAGUAUCAACUCACAUAAAAUAUUAUUUUGGGUACCUUCAGCAUAAUCUUUAGCUCCAAACACAGCAGAACCAGCAACCAGUGCAUUGGCUCCAGCCUCAAUUACCUGCCAAACAAGAUUAUACUAAAAAUUGGAUCUUACAACUCAUAUGGAACAAUCUUAUUACUAUGCCUUGUUGAAAGCAUUCUAAUCCAAUGAACAAAAAAGAAUGAACUUCCUCCUCAUUAUUUCUUUUCAAUUCUUUGUUCCGUCCAAAAAAAUAGAGCACUUAGCCAAAAUACAGAGGUAUAAAUAAAGUUGAAGUACAUUCACCAAAAGAAGUAUAAAUAUAAACUUGAACUGCGUGAACAGAUUGAUUAGAUACACAUGUCACAUCAUAUGUUUCCCAAUAUUUUAUGAUGAGUUAGUUCAUUGAGCACAAUCAGAUUAUGUUCACCAAGAAGACUUGUUACAAGAUCAUUCUAAAUUAUAAACGGACGGAAGACAAUAUGAUUAUGGCACCUUGUAAGCAUUUGCUGGUCCAACUCCACCAUCUACUUCAAUCCAUGGAUUUACUCCCUGAAGAGAAAGAGAGAGAACACAGAUAGAGAUUAUGUAUGACAUAACAGUAGGGGGAAAACAAAAAAUAAUACACAGUAAUACAAAUACAACACCAUACCUUCUCUGCGCACAAUCUUCUCAAAUCAGAAAUUUUCUUUACUUGACUCUCAAUAAAACUCUGGCCACCAAAGCCAGGGUUUACAGACAUAAUUAAGACCAAAUCAACCACUGCCAACACAAUAACAAGAUUAAGAGCUUUUAAUUUUUAACUACUAAAACAUUUUGUAUAAAUGUAAUUCAAUAGAUCGCAAUAUGUUGUGAAAGAAGUUGUUUCACUCUCUUUUACCCCCUUAGUGAGGUAAAAAAAUGCCCAUGCAUUUCUCGUGAGAAUAAAGAUUAAGAAAAAUAAAUUUUACUCCUAUAAUUUGUUAAUUUAUUUGAACUAAAGCUUUAAAACAAGAAACUAAUUACAAAAAUGUGCAGAACAUUAAAUAGAACUACACUAUUACUAGCAGAAUGAAAGUUUAACUACUUAAUGAUUGAGCAAAAAAUCUAAAGUUCUUGAUCUUUCAAAUUAAUUGACUUUCAUAAAAUAUUAUUCAGUGGACCCAAAAAUGAAAAAAAAAUAAAGAAAACAAAGACAUGAUCUAAAUAACAACAGAGAAGUCAAGUCUGAUUCACCCAAAAACUAGCAUAGUAUGUUUGAAUUUAGAUUUGAGAGUAAACUGCAAAACCUUAAGCAUAGGACUACACUGCUAUUAAACCUGCUGACUAAAUCAUUGUCUUCUGUUUAUAAAUUAAAACUUUCUGUUACAAUACAAGUAUUGUCGAAACACAGGAACAGUUUCACAAAGCUAAAAUUGCACCCUUCUACUAAAAAAAAUAAUGCAGUGAAGAAACAGAACUCCCAGUUAACUAACAGAUUUGCUAACCUUUCUAUUCUAAACUCAAUGGAGAGUAGGCUGGUAUUGGUCCAUGGUUAAAGCUUAGAAAGCCACAUUAAGAAUACUGGGAAGUCACAAAUAUUAAAUAGGACGACUAAUGCUAUCAUUGUAUAAUGAAAAGAAACAGUAAAAAUGGCUCACCAUCAAGGAUGUAUUCAAUUGCGCUUAAGGGAGUUCCAGGGUUUAAGACAACUCCAGCUUUAGCUCCCAGAUUUUUUACCUAAAUCAGGAGAAUGAAGUCAGGUAUAUUAGCAGAAAAAUUAAAGCAAGAGUGGGGAAAUUCCCAUGUUUCCAAGGAAUAAUUUCAACUGUUCAGUUCCCUAGACGGCUUUUAACACUAUUGCAUAUAACAAUUUGUGGUUCUGAAAGAAAGAAACCAACUCUGAAAUGGAUAUACUCAAAAGUAAGGCCUUAUAUUUCACACCAUGGUGCAAACAUAGAUUCAGACAAAGGAAAACUUCUGAGAUGGUAUAAGGCUUCCAAAUUCUAUUUAUUUAUUUAGACACUUGACCUGAAGAGGCAACCAUUCCACAUUCAGAAUAAGAAGCGCAACUUCAUAUAGCACUGGGCAAUUAGAUAAAGAGACCAAUGCCUUCUACUGCAUUUUUUCAUAACCAAAAUAAUAGGUGAUUAUGAACCCAAACCAACCAAGAAAAGGAUAAAAGAGACAUGCGAACCCAAGCAAACCAACCAAUUAGCAUCACAGGUCUCAAGAAAAUAUUGAAAGAACAUGUAACAGCAAAAAAGAAUUUCACCUUUUUUGAAGAAGUUUUAAAAAUGCUAAAUUCAUUCUAAGGUCAAUCCUGGUUUAAGAAUUUCCUUGAUAUAACAUUUGGCUUUCUGCUUCUUCAAAUGGUUAUAAACACUCCCAUGCUCAAAUGCUUCACGAAAAAGUACACCAAUUUCAAUAUAACAAUUUGGUCAGGCAAAUUGAUGUCUUAAAUAGAACGGAAAACUGCUAUGGUUAUUUCUUUAUCCAGUCCUCAGACUGCCUUGUUAAUGCUCCUCUAUCCACAUCGUGAAGAAUAGUCUAUAGAUAUCCUUAAUAAUAUAAUUAACCAAGACAUUCCUUUACUGUUACUUAAAUCUCAUACAUUUGUCCUAGCAUCAUGUGACUAGUACUGUCUCCUUGACAACAAAAAUCUCAAAUUGCAUAUGUUCAGCUCCUUUAAUAAUUUUUAUUUUAUUUACAAUUGAUUAAAGUUGGUUCCCUUGGUAUCAACUUUCAGUUGGAACAACGUCGGUAAAAAAUUAGACAGUUCAGGAGGAAAUCUUACUUCAUUAACUGUACGGUGCAAAUGGAUGGUGGAAGAUUGUUCACAAUGAACACUGACAAUAUCAGCUCCUGCCUUGAUAAAAUCUGGCACCCUUUGUUCAGGCUCCACAAUCAUCUAAAGUAUUUCAAAAAAAGUAAGAAAAGUACCUAGAUUCAGUAUCAGCUUAAAUUUGUAUGCGUAUAUAGAUUAUUAGAUGAAUACCAGGUGCACAUCCAAAGGAAGAUCUGUCACAGGGCGCAAUGCAUCAACCACAAGAGGUCCAAUUGUAAUAUUUGGAACAAAGCGACCAUCCAUUACAUCAACAUGAAUCCAAUCACAACCAGCCAACUCUACUGCUUUCACCUAGACAAGAUAACACACGAACUCCAACAUUCAUGAUUAGUUCCUAGAAAACAAAAGGACGGGUUCACUAGCAAUUAGAAAAUUUGAUAAAAUGAGUAUGAAAUAUAGUACAUUGUAAACACUUUGGACCGAAGACCUUUCCAUGUUUGAGUAGUGGCAAAACAAAACAUUAAAAACUGAAAUACUGAUAACAGAAUGAAAAGUAUGUUACAAAACCUGCUCUCCCAAUUUUGAAAAGUUAGCAGAAAGAAUGGAUGGAGAAACAAUGAUAUCGCUUUUUGAAAACUUGUCAACACGGGAUGAAGCCUUCACAAUGGUUGAAAUUUUCCUCCUGAAUUCACAAAGUAGAAAGUUAAAAAGGGACAUUAAAGAAGGCUAUAAUUCUUUCAAAGCCCAAACCAUAUCUAACAAAGUAUACAUGCACUGCAAUCUGCAUAAAUAUGUAUCGAUCACAAGAAAGUUGUUUUAGAACUCCACAUGAACACAAAGGUCACAAAUAAAUACAUGGAAAUGCUGGGUCAUAAAAUGAAGCUCUGAAGCUACCAAUUUUAAGCCUAUGGACGAGAUUCCCAAACCUCACGAAAUAAACAGCAUAAUAAGUUGUCACAAACAAUCCUCCCAGAUGAAAAUGACAUGAAUUCAAACCAGGAGACAAUGCAUGAUGAUGGCAUGAAGUGAAUCAUUUAACUUUUAAAUUAUCUGAGUGCAAGCUACCCAAAGGUCGUUGUUUUCUUUAAAUUUGAACAGACACUAUUGUCCAGUUAUCUCCACAAACACCCACAAUGACAUAAAGGGAUCCCAGAGAGUGGAUUUGAUUUGAUUGUGAAUCCAAAACACAGGAGUGAAAUUCAUGAGAAAUUCAUCCUCUGGGUGUCUCCUUUAGGAAUAAGACGUAUGGUUCCCAAAUGAAGAAAGUAGGAAGUAUGAAGGGAAGUGGAUGUAAGAAUAGGAAUACCUGGAGAAAGUGAGGGAACGAGGAUGAAAGAGAGAGGCCUUGUGAAGGUAGAGGCCAUUGAUUUGGGAUUGGAGGGUGGAUGAACACAAGGAAGAAGUUGCAGCCAUCUCCUUCUUCAACUAAAUUCAAGUUUCUUACCAAUCCUGUGGCUUCACAACAGAGUGCGUGUGUUGUGUGAAUUGGUUACCAUUUUGUAAUAUAAAAAAUGGAAAAUGAGGUGAAUGACACGUGCCAUUUGGUUUGGUGGAGAUGUGCUUAUCUGAAACGAUUGGCGCUCGGCUUCUCUCACCACACCUCUCACUUAACCAUACCACAAACUAUUUUUGCCUUCAAUUAUUAAACAUUGUCCUUCAUUAAUGAAAAAUAACUUAAAAAUAAUUUAAAAAAUGACAAUAAUAAUAAUUAUGAUUAUUUAUAUGAUAUAUAUAAUUUAUUACCUAGGUCAGUACAUAAAUUUAAGAAAAUAAGAAUUAAAGUUUAAGAUAUUUGCUUGUAACUUUAUGAAAAUGAAACUCCUAAUGAGGAGAAUUAUCAACAACACUAAUAUUACUUUUAUUUAAUUAAUGGUUUGUUUUGACUUUUUUUAAUAUUGACUAGAGAAAACAUUAACUAGGUGUUUUUUUUUUGUCAAUUUCAGUUUCAACUAACAGAGAAGUCACACAAAAAAUCUCUAAGUCAUAAAAAUAAUUCUGAUAAAUGUUAGGCUAAUAUAAUCGUGCUAGACAUAAAUAAAUUAAAAAAAACCUUGACUGUCAAUGAAUGAAAAACUUUGAAGGUUAGAAAAAAAAGUUUUAACAAAAAUCGACAAAAACAAACAUAAACUAAGAUUGAGUAAAAAAGAUAAUCAAUAUUCACAUUCUUGAAUUAUUAAAAAUUGUUCAAAUAUUUAAAUAAUUUAUCUCAUCAAAUAAUUGAAAUAAUUUAUUAAAAAAAAAGUUGAAAUCCAAUAAAUUAAGAAGCUUAAGGAGGUUGUACAUCAAUAGACAUUUUGCUAUCUAGCACCAUUUACAAUUUUAUUUCCCUAACUAACACCCUUUUGCUUUUAUUUUCCUAUCUAGCACCCUUUUGUUUUUAUUUCCCUACCUAACACCCUUUUAUUUUUUAUUUCCCUAUCUAGCACCAUUUUAAAAAAUAAAUAAAUAAAUAAUAAUUUUUUUUUUGAUAAUUUUAAUUUUGAAUACAUUAAAAAAUAAGUAUUUUUAAUGUUUAAAAUAGUUAGUUAUAAUUAAUAAAUAAAGAAAUGAGUUUUUACAAAAUAAAAAUAAAAAAAUAAUAAAUUAAAAAUGUUUAGUUUAAAAUUAUUUUGUUAAGAAUGAAGAAAAUAAGAAAUUAAACCCUACAACAACAUAAAAGUUGAAUCUAUAAACAUAAAUUAGUAUUUAUUUUUAUUAUUAUGAUGAUGUAAUCAUGUUAAUUUCAAGUAAAAAAUACAGGACAUAAUUAUAAAAAACCAAAGUCAAUUAGUAUUAAUUAAUAAUGGACACAUAAAUAAUAUUGAAGUGUCUACCUUAAAUGCAAAAUCCUAAAAAAAAUAACUAAUGCAAAUGCUACACUUAAUGCUUAAAAAUGAGAAGAAAAAAAUGCAAAAAUAAAUAAGUAUAGAAAAUAAAAACAACAAUAAUAAAAUAAAAACAAAAAACAAAAAUAAAUAAACAAUGGCAGAAAAAAAUAAUAACUAAAAACAUAUAAGAUAUAAAAUAAAGAAAAAACAAAAUAAGAUAAAUAUACAAGAUAUAAAAAAAAAUCCAAACAAGAUAAAUAUAUAAGAUAUAAGACAAUACUAAAUAAGUAGAUGUUGAUCAUAAAAAGAAAAAUAAAUUAAAGAUGAUCAUUCAUUUAAUAUUUUCUUCAAUGGUACAUUAAAUAGUUUGUGCGAAAUGAAACAUAAUUAAUGACGAGAAGUGCACAAUUCAAUGAUGUUGGGACAUGUUUUUUUUUGUGUGUCAUGGUGUUUGACAAUAUGAACAUUUUUUUGUUUAAUUAUGUUGUUCUCUUAUGUCCAUAUCAGUCCUUAUUCGACUUGACUUAGGUCUCUCCUUAUGCAAACCAAUACUCUUUAUUUAUGAGUUUCAUCAAAUAGUCUUUCGUAACAUGAAAGAUCUGAUGCAAUGUUGCUGUUUUAAUUUUCUAUAUUUAUUUAUUUUUACAUUUUUCUUCUUCUCCUUUUUAAGCAUUAAGUGUAGCAAUUGCAUUAGCUUUUGUUUAGGAUUUUGCAUUUAGGAUAGAUAGACACUUCAAUAUUAUUUGUGCGUUCAAUAUUAAUUAAUACUAAUUGACUUUGAUUUUUUUAUAAUUAUAUCCUGUAUUUUUUACUUGAAAUUAACAUGAUUACAUCAUCAAUAAUAAUAAAAAUAAAUAUUAAUUUAUGUUUAUAGAUUCAACUUUUAUGUUGUUGUAGAGUUUAAUUUUUUAUUUUUUUCAUUCUUAAAAAAAAAUUAAACUAAACAUUUUUAAUUUAUUACUUUUUAUUUUUAUUUUGUAAAAAACUCAUUUCUUUAUUCAUUAAUUAUAUUUCUAACUAUUUUAAACAUUAAAAAUACUUAUUUUUUAAUAUAUUCAAAAUUAAAAUGAUAAAAAAAUUAAUUUAUUAUUUAUUUAUUUAUUUUUGAAAUGAUGCUAGAUAGGGAAAUAAAAAAUAAAAGGGUAUUAGAUAGGGAAAUAAAAACAAAAAGGUGCUAGAUAGAAAAAUAAAAACAAAAAAAUGCUAGAUAGAAAAAUAAAAGUGUAAAUGGUGUUAGAUAGGGAAUUGAGCCAAGUUACACUCUUAGUAUUUAUAAUUUAUAUUCAAGGUUGAAAAACUAUUUUAGUAGGUAUUUUGUUGAUCACACUGGUAAUUUCUAUACCAAAACCAUAACAUAAAUUGAAAAAAAAUAAGACCCUAUAAGAAUAAUAAUCAUGAGAAAUUUCGUAAAUCAACCAAGAAAAUUUUCAUAAUCAAGCAAUUUUUUAUCAGAUUUUAGACUCUGAUUAAAGACCAAAUCUGAAUCUUUUUAAUAUUAUUAUUUCAUAUAUGGUAAAAUCAAUAUAAUACAAAAUUUAGAAGAUAAAAAAAGUAAAGAAUAUUACUAUCAAGAGAACCAAAUAACCUUAAAAAAAUCUAUCUAUAAAGGAGAGAUUCUGAAAAAAGAAAAAUGAAUGUUGUACCUUGAAAAGUCAUUGUAAACAAUAUAUACGAAUAAACAGGGCUAUCCACAUGACAUUACAGUGCAUUUUUACGAGGUUUGGUUAAUUUUUAUUGAAUUAUUUGCGGGAAUAAUUUUUUAUUCAAUUAGUUGCACGAAUUAUUUAUUUAAUUCUUCCAAACCGACUUUUUUUUAAUACGUAAAGGAAGGUUGUUACUAAUUAGUUAAAUAAGAGGUAUUUUUGUGUGGCUUCUUUGAGAUAUUUAAUCCAUAAUUCAUUCAUUAACUGCUCAACAAGCACUAAUCACCAUUUUUAAUGUUCUUUGAGAGUUAUCUUCUUUCUGCCGCGAGCUCGCAUUCAUAAUAACAUAAAACAGGUUUCACAGAAUUUACUAAUUUCGAGGAACUCAAGAUUCUGUCUAUUUAGCAAGACAUGAGAUACUUGAGAGUUCCUAGAAGAGAAGCCAAAAGACAAGACAAAGCUCAAAAUGAAAUUAUCCAAAAAAGAGGGAGAAGCCCACAGCAAAAUGUUAAAUUAUUAAAAUUUUGAAAUAAAUUCAUUUUUACUCUUUUUAAUUUAAAAGUAUUUUAGUAUUUAAAUUUUAAAAAAUCUCAAUGAUUAAUAUAAUAAUUAAUUAUUUUUAUUCUUAUAUAAAUUGUAUAAUUUAUUAUUUGAACAGUAUGUAGGUGUAGAAAGUAGGUAAAACCGAAAAAUUAAUAAAUGUGACAUCAUUUUUUAUGUUUUUGUUUGAAUUUUAAAAUGAAAAUCCGCGGAGGUUGCCAUGAAUGAAUGCAGUUUACCAGUGGCACCGACAGUGGAUUUACAUGAUUUCAUCCAAUUUUGAGAAACACUAAGAUUAUUAUUAUCCUAAUUUUGAGAGAAGUACAACGUUAUUAAACCAUUGUAACCAAAAAAAUUAAUGUCUCUCGCAUCAUGAUCUGCUGCGUCUAAACCAAAUCACUCUCUCUGCUCCAACACCCACUCACUCCCACUCAGUGCAUUCAUUCACUGUUGUACCACCAAUUUUUGUGAUGAAGAAGUUCUCAUUCUCACACUCCGAUUUGGACUCUAAAUGUGCCUUCAGUCUCUCUCUCAUGCGUUUGAUGGCUUUUUUCGUCGCUUCUUUCGUCCUCUGCUCUGUUGUUUUCUCACUCUCUGUUGUUCUUCGAGACCCUCCCUCAGAUGCCGCCCUUCGCGAAUCCUCAUCACUCAACCCUCUCUUUCAAAUCACUCAAGGUACCUUUUUCAUUUAUUUGCUGAAGGGGUAACUACUUUCACCUUUUUAUCCCACCCCAUUCCUGAAGUUGUAACAUUUCCUUUCUUCCUCCUCUUAUGACUUGUAGAUUUGAACAAUGAUACCUCUGAUUCUGUUGAGUUGCUUCAAGAUAAACUGCGCGGUGGCCUUCUAGUUGAUGGAUUUGAUGAAAGUUCUUGUCUCAGCAGGUACCAAUCAGCCAUGUAUCAUCUCAGAGGGCUGUCAGGAAAUCCUUCUUCUUACCUCAUUUCUAGGUUAAGAAAAUAUGAAGCUCAACACAAACAGUGUGGACCUUACACUGAAUUCUAUAACAAAACAGUGGAACAACUUAGGUCUGGUAAAUUUACAGAGUCCUCUCCUUGUAAAUAUGUUGUAUGGAUUUCAUUUAGUGGGUUAGGGAAUAGGAUAUUGACCCUAGCUUCUGCAUUUCUCUAUGCUCUUCUCACAAACCGUGUUCUGCUGGUUGACCCUGGAGUGGAUAUGGUUGAUCUUUUUUGUGAGCCAUUUCCAGAUGCUUCCUGGUUUCUCCCUGCUGAUUUUCCUCUUACUGCUCAGUUUAAUAAUUUCAGUCAGAAUUCUGAUCAAUGUCAUGGGAAAAUGCUGAAAAAUAAAUCGGUUGUAAAUUCCAAUGUUCCUUCUUUUGUCUACCUUCACAUAGUCCAUGAUUAUGAUGAUCAUGAUAAGCUUUUCUUUGUGAUGAAGAGCAACAUUUUCUCCAGGAAGUGCCUUGGUUAGUGAUGAAAACAGAUAAUUACUUCGUCCCAUCUCUAUUCUUGAUGCCAUCAUUUGAGCAGGAACUGAAUGAUCUCUUCCCAAAUAAGGAAACAGUUUUCCAUUUCUUGGGUAGGUAUCUGUUCCACCCCACUAACAGUGUGUGGGGACUUGUUACCAGGUACUAUCAAGCUUAUUUAGCUAAAGUCGAUGAAAGAGUAGGGAUACAAAUUAGAGUGUUUGACACAGAACCUGGUCCAUUUGAACAUGUAUUGGAUCAGAUCUUAGCUUGUACUUUGAAGCAGAAACUUUUGCCUGAUGUUAACCAUCAGCAGGAUGCAAUCAAUUCAUCAGGAAUUUCCAAGUCAAAAGCGGUAUUAAUGGCAUCCUUAAGCUCUGGCUAUUUUGAAAAGGUAAGAGACAUGUAUUGGGAAUAUCCUACAGUGACAGGAGAAGUGGUUGGUGUUUACCAGCCGAGCCAUGAAGGAUAUCAGCAAACACAGAAGCAGACGCACAACCAAAAAGCUUGGGCAGAAAUGUAUCUCUUAAGCUUAACUGAUGUGUUGGUCACAAGCUCUUGGUCUACUUUUGGCUAUGUGGCUCAGGGGCUUGGAGGUUUAAAACCAUGGAUUCUGUACAAACCUGAGAAUCGAACAGCCCCAGAUCCCCCCUGUCGACGUGCCAUGUCAAUGGAGCCAUGUUUCCAUGCUCCUCCUUUCUAUGACUGCAAGGCCAAGAGAGGAACUGACACAGGUGAACUUGUUCCAUAUGUGAGGCACUGUGAGGAUAUGAGCUGGGGCCUUAAGCUUGUAGACAGUGAUAGUUAUCGCUAGUUAUGGCCAGAUACAAAUACAAUGUAUGCUAUUAUGAAAACCCAGUUAUGAUGUGUUCCAAAAAUUUUGUUGUAAAAUAGAAUGAGUUAUUUCUUUUAGACAUGUAUCUAUUGUUCACUCCGAGAAUCAUGGUAUUAGCUUUACUAUUUUAGGGCUAUUGAAUGCGUAGAAAUGACUUUUUAUCUUUUAAUUUUGUCUAAAUCGAUAAAUAUUAGUUAUUAAUGUCUUAAGUUUUGUUAAUAAGAGAAUUCGAAUUCAUCAGAUAUUCUUGGUUCCAUCUACUUUUAUUCAUUAAGUUAAACUUACAUUCAUUUAUUUGUGACUUCAAAUUAUAUUAUUCUUUUAUAAGGCACAAGAGCUUCAAAUUUUCAGUCACUGAUAUUCCGGUGGUUGUGACCUCAGUUACAGGGAAAAAGAAUGUUCCCUUACAUAAAGUCACAAUGGAGUUCAUUUCAUCAAUCAUUCUUGGCGGAACUAUCACAUAGCCAUUUUCAUUCUAUUCUAAUAACUGCUAAACAUGUCUAUUUCUUGAAUAUUCUUUCAGAAAGUUAGUCUCAACUCGUGGACCUGAUACGUAUAAUAAUGUAUGACAAACAAACUACAAAGUGAUACAAGAAAGUCCCAUCUCAUCUCAAACGUAUUCUAUUGUUGUCUGUCUAUUUUCCUAUUCCAAAUGCAAUAAAACCAUUCAUGAUUUAGGCAUAUUACCUUUUAUUCCCUACAAUCUCAUAAGUAUCAGAGAAGCAACAACAAUAUAUACAUCUGGUAAACAUUACCUGUAAAUUAUGAAUCACAUUCUCGAUGGGAAAGAAUGGGGAAGGAAGCAUCAUCCAAGCAUCUGACCACAUAAUUAAUUAAGUGUCUAAUAAAUACUUUGAAAAUCAACUUCUUUCUUCUUAUGCAGAGAUCAGUUCUUUAUACAGAUCUCUCUCUUUUCUUCCCAAUAUGGAAAUGAAAACUAUGCUCAGUUUAGCAAUUAAUUUGAAUGAACAGUUUCUUGUUUCACCUCUCUUAUAAACAAUAGUGAAAUGAUUGCCUUCACAUUGUACAGUGAUACUAACAUUGUAUAAAUAUUUAUGAAAUGUGCCAUAAUACAAAUUAAUAAUCCCAGCCCCACCAAGAUUAAGGAGUGCAUUAAACCAAUAACAAAGAAUGAAGAACAAACAGCUACAAAAGAAAACCACCUUCUGGGUCCGAUCUUCAAUGAUGAUCCAGCAGGUUCUUGUAAAAAAAAGUGUCAGUUCUUUAGUCCAUGCGAAAAAUAUUACUUAAUUGCUUAAGAUUCGACUUGUCUAAUGUUGUUGGAUAGUGUUGAUUUCUUGGGCUUGAAUAUAAUAAGCCCAACGUUUGAUCUGACAAGAAAUCCUUGAAAACGGGCCAUUCAGAAAGUGUUGAUUGUAAUGUUGAUGUUGUUAACAAUUUGUAUUAACAAAAAAAAGGUUAGGAAGAUAUGGUUUUGGUGUGAAUUGAUAGUGGAUGGGAGAAGUUAGUGGAAGCAAAGAUAGCAGAAUGGGAGCGUAAUGGAGAAAAAAUUGAAGAGAAAAGGUCGCUAUCAGGGAAGAAUAUAUCUUAAUCUCAAGUGUUUACAAAAAGGUUGAGAAAACACAAAGUUAGGAGGCACAUCUCCAUCCUAUCAAAUUCGAAUCAUUUCUAAUCCAAGUCAAAGAGAUCAAAAGUAAAGCUUUUGGAAAUUGCCAAUAAAGUAAGCAACUGUGUAUAUUUUCACGCCUCUUUUCUUAUUGCAUUCCAAUUAAUCCACGCUUUUUUAGUUUUUGGUAAAAAGAGGGGAUUAUCAACGUAUUUAACACACGGAAAUUAAAUAUCAUAUUAUCCACAUAUUCCAAUGCUUCUUCACAAAAAUCUAAUCACUCAUUAAAACUACUUUCCUAUUUCUUUACACAUCUCUCACCAAUCAAAACAACAUCCAUGGCUGUAGCCUCUUUUCAUAUUUGGCAAAUUACUAUUUGCUCCACUUUUUCAAUUUUUCCAUCAAAUUUUUCUUAAAAACACUACAGUAGAUGUCAUUUUAAUUUUUAUCCCCCACAAUUACAAUUCCAUACAUACCAUAUAUACACAUCAUAUUUGACUUGUAAUUCAUUAUCAUAAUAAAUUAUUAAAAGUACUUGUUUUAAUUUGAAGGAGGUGAUGGUAAGUAAUGAUAAAAAAUUACAUUUUUUUUUUUGCAAACUUUGAAGCACCACCUUCUAAAUCAGCCUUGGCACAUGGACACUUUGAGGAUAUAGAAAUGAUAUUGAUAUGAUGUGGAUGGAACCAAUUCCCUAAGAGUUGACCCUAAUAGUUUAGUGGGCAAGUGUAAUGAAGGUGAAAUAUUUGGCCUUAUUUUAGAGGACUAACAAGAAAUGUAAGCAUAUGAAAUUUUACCAAAAGAAAUUUGUGGCAUAUGCGUUUAGAAGUUUUGUAAUGAAUAAUGACACCAAAAGAGUCCACCUAUGAGGCACCAUUCCCUUCCGAAACAAAACUCCAAUUUGGCUUUGAAUUGAAGCCCCAAUUGGAUUUCCCCAAGGUGUGGUUGUAACUUAUAUGAUAUUUUCCAAAGUUCAAAUGAUCUCUCUUCACCCUUUCACAUAAGGUAACCCCACUUUUCCUGAAACCCAAUUACAUGGCUCCAUAUUGCCAUUGACAUGAUGAGGUGCAUGGGCUUGGAUGAAUGCGUAUCAAUUUGUUGAAUGAGAUCUCUUUUACUAUUAGUUUCAUUUAUGCAUAAAGGGAAUGUACUAACUAACCAUAUAAUUUCUUAUUCUAGGAAAAUGACCAUUUGUUCGAAAUGUCUCACUCCUACACCACACUGCAAUCAUUUUGUGUGGUUACUAGGCCAAGGAAAUAAGGCUAACAUUGACCUUUCACUCUCUUCUGCUUUGGAUUAAGCUUCAUUAUAUAUACUUUUUACAAAUAAAAUCUCCAUGGAUAUCUCUAUUUUGUGUUCAUUGUUUGCAUCUUUUAUUUUUAUAAUGUUUCCACUUACUUCAUUUGGAUACCACGUUGGAAGUAUAUCAAUAAUAAAACUCCAUUAAGUGGCCUCAAGGGUGUGAAAUAAUUGACAUUAUCUAAUCAUAGUAAGAAUCAACAUUGUGGUUAGCAAACAUGAUAGUGACACGUGACAACAUGAUCCCAUACACGUAGUUUCCCAUGGCCCUUUAUUCUUGGAAUUCUUUCAUUUCUUUUUCAAUUACUCGUUUGCUUUAUUCACUUUUUUUAUGUAUAGAUAAAGGAGGAAUGCUUAUUUUAUUAGUUUGCGAGAUCCAUAAAGAUAACUACUAAAAAAUAAGGUUGUGUGAAAAAUUAUUUAUUUUAAAUAUUAUGUUAUCUCUGUCAUGGUAAGCUAAUUUGUUCAUUUUCAAGUGAAGAUGUUUAGAUAUUAAUCAUGGUGGCUUGUGAAUAUUUGUUCAUGGGAUUGUGAGAAAAAAUAGAAAAAUUCUUAUAGAACAAUGAUUGAAGGCUGAGUGGGUCGUGAAGACCAGAAUCACACACAAUAAUGGAAAUCAAUUUUUGCCUUUUGGACUUUGGCAGGGCACUGCCACACGGAAGUAAGUUUUGUGCACUCUAAAUAUUAUAUUACAAUAAUUUUCAAUAUGUUAAAAUAUAGUAUGUAAAUGGCAUUAUAUUUGACCUAAAUUAUGAUAAAAUCUCAAACAUAAAAAAUUAUUACUUCAAGUGCUUAUAAAAAAUUCAAACAGACUGCUUUCAUGACAUUUUGGUAAGAGACAACUGUCACAUUCUCGUGGGUUUUAUAAUUCCACUUAAGAGAAUACCUUAAGAUAAACUUAUCUUAGAACAACAUUUUUGUUAUCAAAAUUGUAUUAUUGUUAAAAAUAUAAUUGAAGUGUUCAACAUAUCAUACAAUUCAUUCUCCUUUUCUUCUUUAUUCAUGAUAAAAUUCAAAUUACUCUUAAUUCAUAUACAUAAUUUAAAUUUAUUUAAAAUGAUAUUUGUAAAAUAAUUUGUGUAACAACAUAUUUUAUUUAUAUAUUAUAUAUAAUUUAUUACAUGUCAUAAUAACAAAAGGAAAUAAAAAACACAACAAAUAAUAUUGCGUAAAGUAUUACAAAGUUUAUUUUAUGAUUUUUAACAAGAAAAAAAUUAUUUAUAAAUUUAAAUUAGUUAUACAUAAAAAGAAAUAGUUAAUAUUUUUUUUAAAGUGAUAAUUAAAAAAAUCUUCAAAAGAAAGUUUAUAUCUUAACCUAAUUAUCUCUUAAAGAAUAUGUUUGACUAAAUUUAUUUUUCAACUUUUCUAAAAAAAGUAAGAUAAAUCAUGUGAAAUAUUAGUAUUUGUUGAUUUUUGACUGUAGAUAUAAAAUGUUAUAGAUAAUAGAGAAAUAUGUAAAAGAAGAAAAAAAUGUGAUGGGUAGGGAAGAUGGCAGCACUUAGGUUUGGACAGUUAAAAAGGCCUAACUUUGUCCUUAGUCUGACAUCAGACGGUGUGGGACACACUCCCAUUCCCAAUUCUCGUUAGGGUAAGUCAGGUACCUCAGCUACUGCAUUCCUUACACAAUCUUCGAUGCCACAACAAAUUUUCAUGUUUUCAACCUUAACCAUUUUUUUCACUUAUUUUGUGUCACCAUGCAGUGGCUGAACGAAAAAUAUAUUUAUUCUUAAAAUUUUACUCAUGUUGAAAGGACAAAUUUUAGUUUUAACAACCUAAUAAUAAUUUAAUUUUCUAAUUUUGAAACCUGGAAUGCCCUAGGGCACAGGAUGAUGAUGAUGAUAAGGUAGUUGGUGUUUCUAAACUUAUACCAAAUUGCACCAAUCAAAGGAUAGAGCCAGAAAAGUAAUAACAGCUCCUGCAAAGUUAAUUUUUUAUUUCAAUCUCAUUCCUACAGUGAAAUAUACUAAAUAAAAUUAAACAGGUGAUAGGGCAAUGUAGAAGGGAGGGUAAAAUUUUUGAGAAAGGAUAAGGGUGUUGGAGUGGUGUGGUGUGGUUAUAUGAUGAAGAAAAUGAAAUAUUAACAGUGAAUAUCUUUUUUAACGUAUUUAUUUGGCAUCAAAGUGAGUGAGAGAAAAAUGAUAAAAAGACAAAUUGGUAGUGAGUGAGUGUUUUGAUGGAGUUAAGGAUGAAGACGUGCAGGACUCAAAUUGAUGGAGUUUUGAGGGGAUUUGUCAUGUGACAUAAAUGUAAACACCACAUGGUACAAAAGAGAUAAGUAUAUUGUAUUUUUGGACAAAAUAAGAAAAAGAAGAUCAAUGCUCUCAUGUCAUGCCAUUACAGCUUAAAAACGGAAUUCAUAUCAUAAUGGAACAAUAAAUUAUCACAACCCUUCCUCAUUAACUAACAUUAUUUCACCAUUUUCAAAGUAGUUAAACUAUCUUUUUAUUUCAAUAAAACCAUUUAAGUUUAUUAAUUUUAAAUGAAAUAUAUAAAUUAUCAUCAAAUCAAAAUAUAUUUUAACAAAGAUAUUAGUCAAUGAUAUUUUUUUUUAUCAAUCAUGAUUCAGCUACUCUUUGCUAACAUUUUCAAAGACUUAUUUAUUUAUUUAUUUUUAUAAAAAAAAUUGAUUGACAUUAUCAAAAUUAUUUUUAACUAAUAUCGAUUAUAACUAUUUUGACCGAUAUUAGAUGGAAUUAUUUUUUCAACAUUACUGAUUAAAGUUUUUUUUGUCGACUUUUUAAUUAAUAUAAGUUUAAAAACUUUUUCAACUGAGUGAAAAGUAUUAUAGUUAAGAUUGGUGAAAGUUUCCCGUCGCGUUAGAAUUUUUUUUCUUGAACAAUUUUUUAUAAAAGCAUAGUAACAUUGAUGUCACUUACAAAAAUCUUAAUAAAACCAACAAAUAACAUGGAUAGAUGACAACAAUAGAAAUAACUUUGAUUAACAUUGUAAAAAAAAUAGUUUCAUCCACAUUGAUCUAAAAAACUUGACUAAUGUCAACCAAAAAAGAAUUCUACAAGAAAAAUAACUAUAAGAAUGUAGCUUAGUGGGAUGGAAUUUGAUUGAAAAGCACAAGAACAAGAAACAAAAUAUAUCAGAUUAAAAGUGCUAGUAUAUUAUUAGCCCAUAUGCCAUUUUCUUUUUAACUUCGAUUUUUUUUUAUUGUACGCCAUGCCAUUGGUCAUGUAUAGAUUUUGUUACGUGUCAUACUCAACACUGAUAUGUUGGAGGUUGCACUGGCACAAAUAAUUUGUUCUGAACUCACUUAAACAAACUAAACCCAUCGUAUUUACAUUAUGAGACGCUUUCCUAGUAAAUAAAAUUAAUUUUUGAGAAACUGUUUGAAUAUUGUUGUCAUCCUUCUUAUUAACAAUACGAAAAACAUGGGAAAGAUUGGUGUGAAUUCUGAACACCAGCACUAAAGUGAUGUGCUAAGAUGUUUUAGGUAAAACGUUUGAAUUUUUGCAUUUGACAAUGAAUGAUGGAGUGUUGUCAUUAACACACACGCACGUAAACAGAAAGAGAAAGGGAAGAGAAGUUCAGAGGAGAGAGUCAUGAUUUGCACAGUGAGGUUGGGAGUAGGUAAAUGCAGAUAAGUUUGUUAACAUUUGUCUAUGUCAAAGUAUGCUGGUGCACGUGUGUCCAAAUAGAGAGAUAGAGAAUUCAGGAUUUUCUUUGGUAACCGUACCACCCCACAUUUUAAAACUAAAAUAUGCUAUUCAAUUCAAACAUUAACCGAAUCAAGCUCUUGGUCUUGGUCUUGGUCUCAGUAUUAGCUGGACUAUACUGAUCCAAACCAGAAAGGCAAGAUCAACAAGAUACGCUACACAAUCAUUAUGUUCAGAUCUUAAUCCAACAGUCUCAUACUAUUAUGAUUUUCAAUCCAAGCUCAAACAAAAUAAUCAUGUUCAUGCUAAUGCAAAUGCUAAUACCAGCCACAACCCUUUAGUGUCUAAAGACAAAACCAGCCUAAUUACACUUUAACAUAUGUUUCAAUACAUGUUUUUCGAUAAAAUCUAUACAGAGAGACAAUAGCAUCAACCCCAUCCGAAGCUCUUCUUGUUCCUAUUCCUUUAAGCUCAAAAGUGGGGUUAAUGUCACUUUUCAUUGUAAUAGGUCCUUUAUUUAAUAACUUAGUAAUUCCACAAACCAUCAAGAUCCAAUGGAGCAACAGAAACAGAAACAGAAACAGAUGGAUGAUUGUGAUUGUCAAAGUGCCUCCUACCCAUAUCAAAAUUUGAAGAGGUUUCAGGGUUGAUAUCAGUAGUAAGACCCGUUUCCUGUGAAACACUGAUCAUGUCCCUCUCUGACUUGUAAUCAUUACCAUUGUUUUCACACAUGGCUCUCAGAAUGGUGUGGUCCUGCAGAGUGUAAACAGAACCGGGAAAUGUCAAAUUAGGCACAGCUUGAACAGCUUGAGUGGAGUAGAACGAGGCAGAAGGUGGCAUUCUGGGAAGAAAGUCCAAGGGAUUUGAAGAAACCCCAUAAAUAGAGUUGUUGAGGGAAUCAAAGACCCCUUCUUGGUUUCUUUGAACAUCAAUUGGAUUGGAGAAGCAGGGCACGUAAGCCGAUUCAUUCAGCGGUUUAGUGUUGCCAAUAGAAGGUGAAGAAUCCGAAAGGGGUGGCAGAGCAGAUGAACCCAAUUCAUUGGCAAAAGAGUCCAACCUCAUUAUCCCCGAAAUAUGAGUUUUCUUCCCCGCAGAACUUUUCUGAAACACCCUGCAGAUCACCCACUCGUUCUGCCACAGAACAACCAUCACAAUCAUAAAGAAACCAUAACAAAUCGAAAGAGAACAAUCAAAAGAAUAAUAAUAAAAAAAGAAUAACAGUAGAAUACCUUUGCAGUUUUGGGGAGGUUGUGAACAGAGAAUUUCCCCUCGAGUCUGUACUCGUGCAUGACCCAGUUGCUUUUCUCUCCUUUGGGUGCUCGACCUCGGUAGAAAACGAGAGUCUUUUUCAUUCCGACCAAAGAUUUUCCUCUGAAAAUCUCUUUGUCUUUCCCCGUGGCUUUCCAGUAACCGGCUUCAGUGGCCCUGUUGGUUCUCAAGCCAGUGGGGUAUUUUCUGUCUCUGACACAGAAAAAGUACCACUCCUUCUCUCCCAUUUUGGCUUUCCCUACAGAAGGUCCAAGUUUGAAUUUGAAAGAAAAGAGCAGAAUAGAUAAAAGCGAAGUAGAUUGGAUUGUUUAGACUCACAUGGCAAAUCCCAAGGCUCAGACUUGUUGAGGUCGACUUCUCCAAUGGCCCUAGCGCAGAAGUUGGUGUCAAUGACCUUCUUGUAGAGGUAAUGGGUUAUAAGCUCUUCAUCAGUGGGGUGGAAGCGAAAUCCCGGAGGCAAAUCCAUGUGAUGGUCUUCCUUAGAAAGCAGCGAAAGCUUUUCCAUGUGAAGAAAAAGAAAGGAAGUUGAUGGGAUUCAGAAGAGAAAGGGAAGGUGGAGAAGUUGAAGAUGGAGAUAUGAAUGAGAGGGGAAAGGAAAGAUAGGAAAACAAGGUCAUAAAUACUGCUGUUUGGGGGAGGGAGGAAGAAACGUGGAAUGUAAGGUAACCUCCUUUGGUUGUUUAUAGCCUAAGCCCACUUCUCUCUUCCAACUUUUCUCACAUAACAAAUUCUUCUCACUCAUCACCCUCCUUCCUUAAAUUCCAUGCAUCAUCAUGCUAAGGUAGUUACUAGUUACCUACUUUUUCUUAUCUUUACUCUCUCUACUUUAUCUACAUCUCCACUGCAUAUUCACCAAACACUCAAAUCUCACUGCCUCAUCAGACUCAAACCAUCUUCAAUUUUCUUCUCAUAAUUAAAUGCUUUUCAUAAACUACAAAACUCUACUUUUUUUUUAAUUCUAAAUUUAAUUACAGAACUACACUUAUGUAAUGCACAUAAAUGUUCUUCUAAAUUCAAUACUAUAUUAAUAUCAUCAAUAUAUUUUAACUUUUAAUUCAAUGAUCAUCACCCUCAAAUUUUUCAUUAAAUGCGAAUGUAUAUAUAUUACUGAAAUUUUAAUUAUAGAAUAACAACACAACCAACAUUUUUAUUUUGUUAUAAAUCGUUAAAGGGGCCAAAAAGAAUUCACAGACACAAGAGGAAAGAACGAUUGGAAUGAGCCAGAGUAGAUGAUGUAUGUUUUUCCACCAAGAACUUGAGACUUUCUCACAGUUCUUUUAAAAAAAAGAUUCUGUAAUUUUUUUUGAAAAAAAAAGAAAAAACUCGUUUUGUAUACAUACAUAUAUAUAAAAUAUAAUAAAAAGAAGAGUAUUUGUGAAGCUAUAAUAUUCCCAGCUGUAUUAAUGCAAUCAAUAAUAGAUCAUACCAGCUCGUUCUGCAUAUUCCUUUUGAAAAUCAGUAACAUCACUUUUUUGUAAUGAAAUUACAAAUAUGGUCUUCAAGAUUUAUUGGGAACAAACAAUAAACAAUAAGAUAAAUAGUUUCCGAGGUAGACAUGAUUUUUAAGAAUUAAAAAAAGAAAUCCAUAAUUAAGAAGCCACUUUUUGUUUAAGUUGAAUCUUAUGUUAUGCGUACAAUGUUGAACUUGAAAAAUUAGUAAUACACAACCUUAAAUUAAGAGACAUAUAAACUGUGGGAAAGACAAACGAAAAAGCUGUACUUGAAUCUUGGAUCAACAACAAACUAGUGUCGUUAUAACGCCGUCUUUGGCCAAAUCAGAAACAAUCAUAUAUAUAUUACAUGGAACUCACACAACUCCACCAAACCUUAUUCUUUUCGAAUUCAUUGUAUGAUGCUUAUAAUAAUAUUGUAUUUUAUUCAUUGUUAAGUUUAAUGUAAAUUUCAAUUUUCAUAAUCUAUCAUACAUGAUUAAUGAAGAAUAAAUACUUGGUAAUUUUAAGUGUUAUUAUCAACAAUUAUGUGUUGAAAAAGUAUCAAUGUAACUUUUCUAUUAAAUAAUAACACUAUCAACAUUAAUUAUAUUAUUAGAAUGUCUUGAAGUAGUAUAUAAAAAAUAGUAUUACAUAAAAAAUAAAAUUUUAAUUAGAAUGUCUUGAAGUCUAUAUGUAACUAGAAUGUCGUGUAAGAUAACAUUGUUUAUUUUUACAAUCAUUAUUUAAAUUAAUAUUAAUUUAAUGUAAUAUUUACAUUAACAGUGCAUGAAAACCAAACUUUAUAUAUGAAAAUAAAAUGUUAAUGAAAGAGUGUAUUUGCGUUAGGGUUGAGAUUUGUUUCAUUAGCAGAAAGAAUAAGAAUAGAAUAAAUUAAAAUAUUUCAUAAUUACGAGUGUGCUUGUUUUACAAAAUAAAAAUAUAUUUUUGUAAAUGUAAAUUUAGAAAUGUAAUAUUUUCAUUUUUCAUUUUUGUUACAAGCUUUGGAAAAUUAUUUUUCAAUUUUAGGAGAGCGGGCAUAACAUGAUUUAUUUUACUUCUAUUCCCGAAAUGAUGGGUGAGAAAAUUAUAUUAUAAAAUUAUUUUCUAAUUCACAUUAUUUUUAUUGUAAUUCUUAUUAAUUAUCUUUUACUAAAUAAAUUUAAUAAUUCAAACUUACAUUUUAAUAUGCCAGUUUAGGGCUUUUAGAACACAUGAAGAACAAACCAAAGUGUAUUGUUUGUCAUUGGAAAAGGUGUUAUUUCCGCAAUGAAUUAAUGUGCAAAUGUUUUAAGAAAAAAAAAAUAGAGAGAAAGUGAUGAAAGUAAAAGGUAAUAUAUAAUGAAAGAAAGAAGAAUAUAUAAAAAGGGUUAAAUAAGAUAUUUUUUGUCUAUGUAAUUUCACGGAAAAAUAGUUUUUUUUUAUAUCUAACUCAAAUAUAUUAAAAUGAGUAUUUGAUAAUAAUUAAAAAGAACAUUUUAAUUACUAAUAUAUUUUGACGAUGAUUUAAAUUUAAACGUAUUUCUAUACUAACAAAUAUUUUAUGAUCAUAUCGCAAUAUACUUAAUAGAAAUGAGUCGAAGUAACUUGUAAUCGUAUAUAUACAAUGAAUGUUAGGAUGUGAGAUAUUAUUGACUUGGGUGGUUGCAAAAUGAUGGACAUAUUUGUUGGUCUUUCAUAAGCAAAUUUGUCUAAUAUGUGAGGCAAAUAUAUGCAUAACCACUUUAACAACUUUUCAUAUUACAAAAUUACCAUUUUAUUUUCUUGAUUACAUUUUAACAAUGUGAAAGUCAGGUAACAUGGGAUGAAUUAUGUAGGAGAUUUUAUUAGUUCAUAAAAAAAAUGUAAAAUGUAUUAAAAAAAAUAGCUUGUUAAAAUGAUACCGUUUAAAUAGAAAUCAAUAUUAGAGAUACAAAAUAAUUAGUUAUUAUAUUAAUUAAAUUAUAUAUUAUUUUACAGACUAAAAAAUUAUUGGUAUCUAAAAUAUUUUAUAAAUUUAUAAACUAUCUAAUUAGUUACCAAUAACUCAUUAAAUAGAAACUAAUUUAUAAAUUUUAUUAAUAAUGAAAAUAACAGUAGAUACAAAUAAUUUUUUUAGUCUCCAAAAUAGUAUCUAAUUUAUUCAAUAUAGUGAUUAAUUAUUAUUUUUAUUUUUAAAAUUAGUUUCUAUCUAAUAAUUUUUUAAAAUUAAGUAUGGUUUGAACUAUCUUAUAUAAUUUGUAAUCCUUGCGAAUGAUAGGUGACACAAGAUAAGUUAGCUUACUAACCUAUAUAACUCACGCUACACCACACACAUGCAUAAAUUCCUUUCUCAUUAAACUAUACAUAUAGAUUCCUUCCUCCUUCUCCUCGCGAGUUCAUUUCUUUCUAUCUUUAAGCAUGACUCUUUUUUUCUUCUCCUAUUCAUAUAUGACAACUUUUCAAAGGUUUCACUUUUGUUAUGAAUUUUGGAUUAGCAAUUUAAGGUGAGAACCCUAAGAAGAUUCUUACUGGACACGAACUUAACCAAUUGGUUAAGUGUGAAGGUUCACUUCAAAAGGGCAAAGAGAAAAGGACAAAUAAUUAUAAGGUGAAGAUGAUGCAAUGGGGCAGAAAUUAAGAUAACAAGACAAAGAGAACCAACUAUUAAAAGAUAAACAUGAAUGUAUAUAGAGGAAGGGAAUGGAAGGCACAAAAAGAAAAUAAAAAGAGGAAGGGGAAUGGAAGAGAGCUUAGAGCUCUCAUUUUUAUAUCUGGUUCUUCCUCUGCUAAUGCUCUCUCGAGGUUAAUCAAUCUGUUCCAACCUCAGGUCUGUUGGACAGCAUCACUAGGAUCAAUCACCACAUCCGAUGUAUUGUUCGCUUUGAAGAUCGGUGCUCCGUCACAGUUUUGUCCUGAAAAAGCGUCUCGGGGGUUGAGAGAGGAGAGAGUAUAUAAACUGUCCUUGAUCUUGACUCCUGAACGAUGUGAGACUAUAUUGGCAUACCGGAACACAAUCAAAUGGAUUUUGAUUUUUUUUUAGAGCAAAUGGAUGAGCUACAAUAUUAAAAGAAUGAUUUUCAACAUUUUUAUUUCUUUCUUUAAUGACAAGAAAUUUAUUGAAUAUGCCAAUUAAUAUAGGUGUGUCUCUCUCAAUAUUUAACAUUAGUUCUCAGAUUCUUAAAUGCGAAAGAUAUUUUAUUUACUUCUGGUAGGAGCACAAGUUAUUUUAGAGUAAUUCAAUUAAUUUAAUUGAGACUGUUUUAUUAUAAUAUUUUUAAUUGAUUAUCAUAAUUCAAAAUGUAUGUAGAAGUGAAAUAGGAGAGUUCUUCUACGAUCCCAGUCAAUGUUAAUCAAAGAUAAUAAUGAUUAAUUUAAAUUUUGUUGUGUUAUUUGAUAAUUUUUUGAGAUUUUGUUAAGAAUUCAUGUUAUGUAAUGUGUGUUAUUUAAAUAUUAAGUGUGAAAAAUAUAUUAAUGCAUGUUGUGUUAUUUAAUUAUUGUGUAUUUUCUUAGGUUUAAAGACAUUUUUUAAAGAAGUGCAGACCAGCUAGUAAAAAUAAAUACAAGAUGGAUAAUAAAAGUGUUUGCAAGUUUUACAUUAACCAUUUGUCUUGACUCAUUUAUGAUUGUCCAUAUAUACAUAUGGGAUAAAAAUAAAAUAACCAAUCCAGAUUAUCAUCCCAAUCAAAAUAAAACAGAACUAUAUCUCACAAAAACUACUCACACUAUGAAAUUUUUAAUUUUUUUUAUAAAAUAAAAUAUUUAUUAGGCUAUGUUUAGCAAAAAAAAACCGCUAGCUUAAAAUCUAGUAUAAAUAUGAAAAAUUAACUAGUAACUAAGUAGUUGUUAGUUCAAAACAAACUUUUUUAAAUUACAAGUGGUUAAUAAAAUUAUCAAUUCAAAUAUAUAAAAUUAGACAUAUUUAUAUAAUGCUUUUAUAUAAAUUUUAAGUUUAUUAUAUUGAUAAAGCGUAUUUUAAUUAUAUUUCUAUUUUUUUAUUUUUAAUUAACUUCAAACCUUUAUAAUCUUUAAUUUAUACAUAAGUUUUCUAAUACAUUUAUUUUGCUUAUUGUCGUUUUAUAAUUUUUCAUAUGUUGUAUUUAUUAUCAUUGAUAUAGUUAUGAAAUAGUAAAAUAAAUAUUUUAAAGGAUUAAUUACAUAUUUUGUUACUAAAAAAUUAUAUUCAUGCAAAUUUUAUUAUUGAAUUUUAAAUUUUGUAAAAUUUAUUGUAUGAAUUUUAAAAGUAUACAAAUUUUAUAUUUUCAUUUUGAGAUGUACACAGCCCCUUUCCCGUACAAAGACACAUUAAUUAGGUUUAUUGUACUGAUCAUACUAAUAUUCUAAAGAGUGAAGGACAUAACAAGAUAGUAAAAGAAAAAACAAUUGAAAAUAAAAAAUGUCAAAUUUAUAUUUAAGACUUAGUGAUAAUAUAUAACUUAAAGUAAUACUACAAAACUAUCACAAAAGUCUGAACAAUAGAGUUUUAUGAUUCCACAAUAACUCAAUCACUAAAUGUCAACAUUUUAGUUAUUAAAUAUCAUAAAAUUAGUUUGUGAUUCAAUGAUGUUUACCACUUUGUCACUAAUUAACUAUAAGAAUAAAUAUUAAAUUGAAAAAAAUGAUGAUUAUACAAAAGAACAUAUUUCAGUUGAAAAAUUAUAAUUUGACAAGGUUUAGCCACCAUGUUUAUUUAUUAUUAAAACAGUCGUUGAUUUAUUACACGCUACUAAAAACUUGUCUAUUGUAAAGCAACCAAGAUUAAUAUUAUUUUUUUUUUUAAAUAAAAGCUUUCAUGUUAGGUAUCACUAUGCCACUUAAGAUCUCAGCUAGACUAACACCUCAAGUAACAACAAUCAUUUACCAUCACAUGAAAAAAAAAUAUUAUUAAACAAAAGAAAAAAGAAAAGAAAAAAAAAUACAAAAAUACGGGGGGACUAGACCAAAAUCCAUAUGUUAACAAAAACGAUACAUAGGUAGACUAUACCUAUUCAUAAAGAAUUCUAAGAACAGACAAGGUGGAAGCCUAUUAUACCAAAGAAAAGGUUCUCUAUGAAAAAAUCCUAAAUUAGCCAACUUAUCAGCACACGCAUUUCCUUCACGAAAAAUAUGAGUAACUGUAAACCUAAUUUUCCCACAGUAAUUAAGACAAGCAUUCCANNNNNNNNNNNNNNNNNNNNNNNNNNNNNNNNNNNNNNNNNNNNNNNNNNNNNNNNNNNNNNNNNNNNNNNNNNNNNNNNNNNNNNNNNNNNNNNNNNNNNNNNNNNNNNNNNNNNNNNNNNNNNNNNNNNNNNNNNNNNNNNNNNNNNNNNNNNNNNNNNNNNNNNNNNNNNNNNNNNNNNNNNNNNNNNNNNNNNNNNNNNNNNNNNNNNNNNNNNNNNNNNNNNNNNNNNNNNNNNNNNNNNNNNNNNNNNNNNNNNNNNNNNNNNNNNNNNNNNNNNNNNNNNNNNNNNNNNNNNNNNNNNNNNNNNNNNNNNNNNNNNNNNNNNNNNNNNNNNNNNNNNNNNNNNNNNNNNNNNNNNNNNNNNNNNNNNNNNNNNNNNNNNNNNNNNNNNNNNNNNNNNNNNNNNNNNNNNNNNNNNNNNNNNNNNNNNNNNNNNNNNNNNNNNNNNNNNNNNNNNNNNNNNNNNNNNNNNNNNNNNNNNNNNNNNNNNNNNNNNNNNNNNNNNNNNNNNNNNNNNNNNNNNNNNNNNNNNNNNNNNNNNNNNNNNNNNNNNNNNNNNNNNNNNNNNNNNNNNNNNNNNNNNNNNNNNNNNNNNNNNNNNNNNNNNNNNNNNNNNNNNNNNNNNNNNNNNNNNNNNNNNNNNNNNNNNNNNNNNNNNNNNNNNNNNNNNNNNNNNNNNNNNNNNNNNNNNNNNNNNNNNNNNNNNNNNNNNNNNNNNNNNNNNNNNNNNNNNNNNNNNNNNNNNNNNNNNNNNNNNNNNNNNNNNNNNNNNNNNNNNNNNNNNNNNNNNNNNNNNNNNNNNNNNNNNNNNNNNNNNNNNNNNNNNNNNNNNNNNNNNNNNNNNNNNNNNNNNNNNNNNNNNNNNNNNNNNNNNNNNNNNNNNNNNNNNNNNNNNNNNNNNNNNNNNNNNNNNNNNNNNNNNNNNNNNNNNNNNNNNNNNNNNNNNNNNNNNNNNNNNNNNNNNNNNNNNNNNNNNNNNNNNNNNNNNNNNNNNNNNNNNNNNNNNNNNNNNNNNNNNNNNNNNNNNNNNNNNNNNNNNNNNNNNNNNNNNNNNNNNNNNNNNNNNNNNNNNNNNNNNNNNNNNNNNNNNNNNNNNNNNNNNNNNNNNNNNNNNNNNNNNNNNNNNNNNNNNNNNNNNNNNNNNNNNNNNNNNNNNNNNNNNNNNNNNNNNNNNNNNNNNNNNNNNNNNNNNNNNNNNNNNNNNNNNNNNNNNNNNNNNNNNNNNNNNNNNNNNNNNNNNNNNNNNNNNNNNNNNNNNNNNNNNNNNNNNNNNNNNNNNNNNNNNNNNNNNNNNNNNNNNNNNNNNNNNNNNNNNNNNNNNNNNNNNNNNNNNNNNNNNNNNNNNNNNNNNNNNNNNNNNNNNNNNNNNNNNNNNNNNNNNNNNNNNNNNNNNNNNNNNNNNNNNNNNNNNNNNNNNNNNNNNNNNNNNNNNNNNNNNNNNNNNNNNNNNNNNNNNNNNNNNNNNNNNNNNNNNNNNNNNNNNNNNNNNNNNNNNNNNNNNNNNNNNNNNNNNNNNNNNNNNNNNNNNNNNNNNNNNNNNNNNNNNNNNNNNNNNNNNNNNNNNNNNNNNNNNNNNNNNNNNAAGGUUGAAGAAAACGACCCCUUGGAGCACCAACAAAGAUAGGCACUCCUAAAUAAGUGAAAGGCAAACAACCAUGACUACAAGAAAGAAUACGCUGAAUUUUGGUGACAAAUCUUGUAGAAUUAUCCAUGGUGAAAAAACUACUCUUAGAAUUAUUAACAUAUUGACCAGAGAAAUCACCAUAUGUUUUUAGAAAAUUUCUCAAAUUUCUAAGAGACUUAGUAUCCGCCCUACAGAAAAUAAAAAUGUCAUCCGCAUAUAAAAUAUGAGAGGGAGUGAGAAAACCUUGUGGACUAGCCAUAUGUAGAAUCUUCUUAUCAUUCACAAACUUUGAGAGACCUCUACUAAGAACUUCCUCUGCAAGACAAAAAAGUAUAGGAGACAAAGGAUCACCUUGUCUAACACCUCUACUACNNNNNNNNNNNNNNNNNNNNNNNNNNNNNNNNNNNNNNNNNNNNNNNNNNNNNNNNNNNNNNNNNNNNNNNNNNNNNNNNNNNNNNNNNNNNNNNNNNNNUAACCCACCAAACUACCAUUUAUUCUGAUAGAAAGCAUAGCUGAACGGAUAAUAGUACUAAUCCAACCGACAAACGAGGGGUGAAAACCAAAGCGUGACAAAACUGAUAGUAAAAAUUUCCAACUUAGAGUGUCAAAAGCUUUGUGAAUAUCAACUUUGUAAGCCACGUUGCCUCCGUGAACCUUUUUAGAAAGCAAGUUAAUAGCUUCAGAAGCAAUACUAAUACAAUCUUGAAUCUGUCUGCCCUGCACAAACCCAUACUGAUUAGGAGAAAUAAUUCUGGCAGCCACAAGAGCAAGCCGAUCUGCCAAAAUCUUGGAAAUAAUCUUAAAUUUAAAAUUAGCAACAGCAAUCGGCCUGUAAUCUUUAAUAGAUUCAGCACCCUGAAUCUUAGGAAUAAGAGAUACCACAUUACUGUUCGUUCCAGGGAGAACCCAGUUUUGUUUAAAAAACUGUUGGACUGCAUUACAAACAUCUGUCCCAAUAAUAUCUCAACAAGAAUGAUAAAAAACACCACCAAAGCCAUCAGGACCUGGAGCACUAUUACCAUUAAGGUUAAAAACAGCAUUCUUGAUCUCCAAAAAAUCAGGACAUUUAAGCAACAUCAUAUUCUCCUCAGAGGAAACCAGCUCAGGAAUAUAAGUACCAAUAAAAUNNNNNNNNNNNNNNNNNNNNNNNNNNNNNNNNNNNNNNNNNNNNNNNNNNNNNNNNNNNNNNNNNNNNNNNNNNNNNNNNNNNNNNNNNNNNNNNNNNNNNNNNNNNNNNNNNNNNNNNNNNNNNNNNNNNNNNNNNNNNNNNNNNNNNNNNNNNNNNNNNNNNNNNNNNNNNNNNNNNNNNNNNNNNNNNNNNNNNNNNNNNNNNNNNNNNNNNNNNNNNNNNNNNNNNNNNNNNNNNNNNNNNNNNNNNNNNNNNNNNNNNNNNNNNNNNNNNNNNNNNNNNNNNNNNNNNNNNNNNNNNNNNNNNNNNNNNNNNNNNNNNNNNNNNNNNNNNNNNNNNNNNNNNNNNNNNNNNNNNNNNNNNNNNNNNNNNNNNNNNNNNNNNNNNNNNNNNNNNNNNNNNNNNNNNNNNNNNNNNNNNNNNNNNNNNNNNNNNUGAUGUAAAAUAAACAUAGGACAACCAACAACCUUAUUAGCCCAAGAAUCAUGAAUAAGCUUCAUACAGGAAGCGUCUUGAAGCCACAUAGAAAAGAAACGAAAAUUGCUAACCUUCUUCAAAGAAUUACUAGCAAGACUAGUAAGAAUAGGGGAAUGAUCAGAACAAUUUUUAACAAGAACCUGAUAAGUACAAGAAUCCCAUUCAUCCAAACACACUUCGUUACAUAACGCCCUAUCCAAUUUUCUAUGAAUUCUAUGGAGCCCUCUCCUUCCAUUACACCAAGUAUAGCAAGUACCGGUAAAAGGCAUACAAGAAAGAUCAUUAGUAUUAAUCCAAUCAAGGAAUUCAUUGCAAGAAACUUGAUUAGGAGCCACCCCUCCUUUACAGUCAUCGACUGAGAGCACAACAUUAAAAUCACCCAUAAUACACCAAGACCCUAUGAAGGAACUAAGAUCCCUCCACAAAACCCGUCUAGCCACGUAUGUGGUAGCACCAUAAACACCUGCAAAACUAAAACAUUUAUCAUGCAAAUGACAAGUUACAGAAAUAAAUUGUUCAUUUACCAAGAAAUUUCGAACCAAAUUAGGAACCGACAAACACCAAAGCUUAGCAGCUUUAUUAACAAUAGGAGACGUAGCCACCAAAUGCAUAUUAACAGAUUUGAAAAUGACUUCAAAAACAUCAGUGUACGGCACCAUAGGUUCAGCAAGAAAAACCAGAAGAGGUUUGUGUAGUUUGAGUAAACUAAUCAACAUCUCCACAGUUUUGUGGUUUUCCAAUCCUCUAACAUUCCAGAAAAAUGAAGAGACUUUCAUAAUAUUAUUUAAUUACUAAGUUUAGUUACUAAUCUAAAACCAUAGUCAACAUUCAUACCUUACCCACAUUGCAAGUAAAAAAGAACAAGGUAUAUGAGUGUUUGAAUUUUCUAAAUAAUAUAGUUAAGAGUGGAUUUAAAAUGAAGAAAAUGAUAUUUAAUUCAAAAAAAUGAAUAUAAGAUAAGAUCAUUAAGUGCAUAUAAUUUGUUUUAUUUAUAAGUUAUAAGUUUGUGUUUGAGGUGGUGAAGUGGGUGAUGUUUCUCCUGUUCCGACAUGAGGAAAUGAAAUAGAGGAGGACGUGGAAGAAUGGGAAUGGUCCAAAAUGAUGAUUAUAUAUAUGUUAUGAAGUUAGGCAAAUGUCAUUCAAAUGUGAUAGAUGAUUGUGUUACCUGCUUCUUCUUUCAAACCAUUCAACUAAUUAUUUGACUCUUUCAUUCCACUGCCUAACUUUUUUAGCUUUUAUGUAUGGGGUUAUUCAUUCACAGAAUCACCAAUUUCAAUAUAUAAAUUGCUAUAACAUUUAUUUUAACACCUCACAACUAUGUUUCUCCUUUAUUAAAAUAAAUUCUUCUAAUUUUUUAGGUUGUUCAAUUGUUAUAAGACUAAUUUUGGAAUAUUUAUAUUAAAAAGUUGAUUUUAAACUUAAAUUAAUCUUAUAAAAUUAGUUAAUAAGAUAAAGUUUGUAUAUAUUUUUUUCUCUUUUUUAAUAAUAUUAUUUUCAUACGAUGGUAAAUGAUUCUUGUUAUUUGAGGUGUCAGUCUAGUUGAGAUGUCAAGUUGCAUAGUGAUGCCUAACAUAAAAAAAUUUUAUAAAAAAAAAACUAAUGUGCAAUUCUAUUGAUUAAAUAUAUAACUAAUACUAUUUUAAUAUUCUCAUUCACAUAAAUUACUUAAUUAAGUCAUUGAAUAUGUUUCAUUAUUUUAGCUAAAAAAUUGUUUGGCUAUUAAACGAUAGGUGAAAGUAACAAGAUUUGACUGGUGUAAUGGUUAAAAUUUCUUUGAUCAUUUAAGGACUUAAGUCCCAGCUGUUACAGUUUGUUUCUAACAUUUAGUGUUAAUAGUCUCCCAUAUUUUUGUAUUUUCUUUAUUUAUUUUUUAGUAAUAUUUUUUUCAUGUGAUGACAUAUGAUUAUUGUUAAUUGAGUUGUGCCUAGUUGAGAUAUCAAAUUGCAAUAGUAAUGCCUAAUAUGAAAAUAUUUUUAUAUAAAAAAAAUCAGUGAAAGUUUUACCAUUGAAAAAAUAAAUAAGUAUCAAUUGUAUUUUAAUAAAAUUAAAAUUUUUUCUUAGGUCUAAAAAUAUAUAGACAGAAGCCUAGGACACACUUGUGGUUCAAAUUAAGGGGUUGUAGUUAGUUAUUAAGUGGUUUGUAUUCAUAAAAGAAAGCCAACAUAGCCACCUAAUUAGCCAUAAGAUGUGUCGAGACUUACCUGUUAAUAGCUGUAUUAAGAUAGCAUUAGAUACAAUGCAAAUUGGGAUGCCCAAAAACCUUUAAAAUUCUGUGUAAAGAAGAUAUUUGCACAAGAUUACUCUAAUUAAUUAAAUGUAUGAAAUUGUGAUAUUUUGAAAAUGUUUAUUUAUUAAAUAAUGAAAUAUUAUUCGGAAGAGAUGAACAAAUUGUGAAAAGUAUUUUUAGCUUGAAAGUUAGGUAACUUAAAUGUUUCUAAUUACAUCGUAAAAAUAAGAAAUUAUCCCUUCUCAAUUAAACCCAUCAUUAAUGUUAAGUUGAAUAAUAAUAAUAAAUUAUUAUUUAGUUCAAGAACAAUCUAAAUCCUUAUAAACAUUUGAAUGAGAGUAAAGAAAGUAGAAAACUAUAUUUAUUAAUAGAAAAGUAAUGUUAUAUAUAUUAUUCAUCAUUAGCAUAAAGUAGUGAUAGGGUCUUAAUAGUUAGUUUGUCUUUUGCUUCAUUUUAGAAGUGGAAAAAUUAACCAAAAAAUAAUGUGAGAAGAUUCAACACUUGCUCUAUCUAUAAAAAAGAAGGAAAGCAAAAAGCUAUCAACUUUUCUACUUAUUGCUUUGUUUUUUUUCGUAAUUUUACUUUAUAUGUGUCAAUGGAAAUGCCACAAUUUACAUUAGACGUGUGAGUUUGGUUUGAUUCAAAAUAAGUGAUUUAGAGAUACUAGUUUCAGAUGAUUUAUGGAUUUUUCACUCACGUGAUACUCAUAAAUAAAUUACAUAAAUACAAAAUCAUUUUAAAAAUUUAUCCAAAGAUAAUUUUGACUUUUCAAAAAAAUCACUUAACAAAGUUUUCACUUUUAUCAAAUUAAUUAAUUAUAUAUAAAUAUACACAAAAAAAAUCCCUCGUUUCUACUUUUUUUUAUUCACUGAUACACAUAACAUUGUUUUCUACUUUAUUUUUUUUUCUUCAAUUUGUUUUGCUCCUUAUUUUCCUUAAUCACGUCUAAACAUAAGCUAAAAGACGGGAAAAGUGAAAACCUAUAAAUAAGAUCGUACAAACCUCAGUAUCCACGACUUGAUUUUUUUUAUUAAAUAUUAUUUUAAUGAAACAAAAAAUGAGACGCACUUCGAUUUAUUUUAAUUUAUUCUAAAUUUAAAUAAAAUUAAACUAAUAUUUCAAUUUUAUUUGGAUCAAGUUUUGUUAGUAUAAAAUUAUUAAACAUUUUGUAUAAUAAAAAGAUAUAUGAUUAAAACAAACUUGUUGUGAUGUUUUAGCGAAUAUAAUUUCAAUAUAAUUAUAACAUAAUCAAAGAGUAAAACAAAUUUUCAAAGGUUUUUCAUAUUUGUCUAUAUUUCUUAGUUGCAAAUUAAAUCAAAAGAUAUAUUAUUACAGUUAAAUGGAAUUAUUAGUUUGAUUUCAUUUUUUAAAUUAAAAAUUGAACCAAUCAAUUGAAAAAAAAAUCUAAAUUUUUUUGAUGAAUAUUUUGUUACUUUUUUGAAUUGGUUCAAUUUUAAACCCUUAAUUAUGAGAAUACUUAACAAUUUUUUAUAUUCUAAAACAAUAUUUUUUUUCUAAAGCAAUUUUAUUUAUAAGUUAUCUUUUCAACAACACCCUUACAUAUCCAUUUAUGCAAAUAUAAUGAAGUUAUAAAAUUAUUAUUCUAUAAAUGCAAAUAUAAUGAAGUUAUAAAAUUAUUAUUCUAUAAGUGUAAUUCUUCUUUCUCCCAAAUAUCUCUCUAUUACUUUUUUUUUUUUUUAAGAUUUCGUCUACAUACCUCAUCUAUUUCAAAAUUUUAUCACUCCUUGCAUUAGUUGAGGAGUCAAUAAUAAUUUUUAUCCAAUUAUGUUUUCAAACCAUAUAAGUUUUUAUUUACUCUAACGAUCUUUUGUUAUCUGAUCUUCACUAUGUUUUUAUCAUCAAUUUUGAUGGGACCAAUUGAGAAAAAUGAUAAUCUCAACUUGUUCUACCACAUACUAAAAAUCUAUUAUGUUUGGAUAACUUGCUCUAGGUCCCUAUAACCUACUAGUUUUGGAAAUUUCAUUGAAAACAAACAAUCAGGUAAGGGAAGCCACUUGUAUGUUGAUUAAACUGGUUUUAAAUACAACUUGAAAAAAAAAAAUAGAUUUGAGUUGUUGAGAAUGUUAGAUUUCUGGUACAAGUUGGGGUUUUAGUUUGCAAAAUCUGUUAAAUUCGCUUAGUGCAAGUCUAAGCGCAUUAAGGUGCAAAUGUUGGGUAUUUUUGGCCCCAAAGUCGUUCAACGCUUUUCCCCUAUACUUAAGCAGAUUUUACAUGUAGAUUUAGGGGAGAUCUUGAUCUCAAAUCUGGUAAGCCUUUCCCUAUGCUAAGUGGAUCUGAUUUGUAGUUUUGGGGUGCUCCCGGCCUCAAAUGCACUUAGCAAAAUUUUCCCACGCUUAGCGGAAUUGAAUUGCAAUUUUUACAUGUUCUCUGUCUCAAAUUCGCUCAAUGCAAAUUCAAUGCGCCAAGCAAAAUUUCCCUGGACUUAAUCUGAGCUUUUUUGGCUCAAGCCAUCUUAACAAGAUUUGUCAUUUUGCUCAAGUACAUUUUUAUUUUUUUUACAUGAGUAAUAAAAGUGAAUUGAACCUUUGAAAAUUUUAUUAAUUUUAAAAAUUGUAAUUAAUUACAACUUUCUUUUGUUAAUACUUGUAAUUGAAAUGAAACCCAAUAAUUGUGAUUGAAAAUAGAUCCAUGUGUAGUAGAUAUGAUUGAAAUGAAAUUGAAUUAUUAUGAUUGAUAUUUGAAUUUUUGUAUGAUUAUGUUUGAGUGAGAAGAAAACUAAAUUAACUAUGAAUUCUUUUAAUUAUAUUUUUUAUGUUAAAACUUUAUUUCGAUUUUAUUUUUUCUUUUGUAAAUAGAUGUAUUAAUAUAUGUAUUGUGUGAAUUAUAAAGUUUAUAUAAGAUGUGAUGUUAUUUUUUCGGUGUUACAAUUAUAACACCCCAUUAUAACUAAAUAAUUAUUUUAUUAUAAUACCAUAUAUAUAAUUAUUAUCGAGUUUGGUAUUAUUCUUUCCAGCUUUAGUAAAGAAUGUAUUUCUUUUCUUUCAUUAAUGAAAAAUAUUUGAAUAGUUUUAAUUUUGUUAACGUUUCAUUCAUUUAUAUAUAUAUAUAUAUUUGAAACGUGUGUUUUUAUUAAAAUAUAUAAGUUUUAUUAAAUCUAAUACAUAUUCUAAUAUUUAGCUUUUUAAAAAGUAUUCAUAAAAUAUUGUUUAAAAGUGUAAACAAACCAAAUGGACUGAGGAAAAAAAAUAUUUUUUGUGUGAUUUAAUUUGAAGUUGGUUUGUAAGAUACAAUGAGAUUAUAACAAAAAAAUAAUUUUAACUUCAGACACAAACAUAUCUUAAGAAUAAAAUCAAUUAAAAUAAUAUAUCCAUGCGUAUCACGUGAGAAGUGAAGAUGUAAAUGCAACCAUUUGAAAACGUGUCAUUCUUUUUCAUUAAAAAAAUGUAGACAUGCCUUAGUGCGUAGGCAUAUAUACUUAAAUUUCACGUUCAACACUACUGGUUUAAGUUAAAAUGUUAUCCUCUUUUUGUAUUUAAAACUCGUUUUAAAAAAAUUUCUUCCUUUUUAUGGUUUUUUCAAUUUCAAAACAAUAUAUAUAUAUAUAUAUAUAUAUAUAUAAAUUAUACUUUUAUUUUAAUUUUAAUUAUGUGUUGAAAAUUAUUUAUAGAGAGAAAUUUUUAAAAAGUAUAAUAAAUGACUUAUUUAAAAUUACAUUAAUAAAUAGAAAAUUAAAAAAUUUAAUUAAUUGGAGUAAACAAAAUCUUAAACAAUUGUUAUACAUUGUGCUGGUAUGAACUGAACGAUCAAUACCAGACUCGACUUCUGCAGUCGGGCCGACCGAAUGAUACACGUCCGUGUAGACUGACCGAUACCCUUGGUCCAUUAACACUCAAUCAAGGUCGAUAAAGGUAAAUUAUCAUUAUGAAUUAGGUAAUACACCUUUAAGUAUGACUCACCUCACUAAUCUGACCCAAUAAGGUAAGCUCAUUAAAAUAAUAUAAAUAGUGCACAUUCCAAUAAGUAGGUACGUAAUUAAUUACUGUACUCUGACAUUCAGGUGUCGAACACCCUUUGCUGACUUAAGCGUUAGAGUGUCUUCUGCAAGUAUCCCGUUUGACAUUCCCUAGGAGAUUGAGUGAUCAAGCGACCAAGACCCAUAGGAGUAGCAAAAAGACUGAAAGAGCAAGUUGAAAUGUAGGUCAAUUGUCUGAUAAAAAGAUGAAAGACGAAGUCUCUUAAUAGUUUUCUAAGUCUCAUCUCCCGGUCAAAAAACAUAUAUAUACUAAAAAGUUAUUAAAUAAAAAUUAAUUUAAAAUAUACAAAAUAAUUAGUUACUAUCCUAACUAAUUAAAUAUCUUAUAGACUAAACAGAUAUUAAUAUUUAAAAUAAUUUAUAUUAUUAAUAAAUAAUUUAUAUUUUAAAUCUAAUUAACUACUCAAAAGUAAUUGGAACUCAUGUGCCCUUCACUUCUUCUUUCACUACGGUCAACAUUCACUUGCAACCACUCUCCUUCCCUUCCCCCGAUCCUCCAUCCACACCCACAUUCAACCUUUUCUUCAACAAUAUAUAAUCACACCAAAAACACAUAAUAAAAACCCUCAUUUCUCAAACAAAAUAAGGAGCUUUUUUCAUUUAUUUUUUAAUAUUUUGGCAAGAAUAGUAAAAAAAUGUUACUUCCUCAAUGCAAGAGAGAUUAAAUUAAGGUGGGAUUCCACAUUUAAAGGAAACACUUUUUAUUUUCAAUAACAAAAAGAAGAAGAAAAGUUGAAUGAGAGAAAAUGAAAAGGAAGAAGGAGGGUGGUGAAGGAGAUUGAGGGAAAAGUGAUAAAUGAUAAGUGAUAUGAUGAACGAUUAAUUUGAAAAUAAAAGAAAAAUCUUAAUCCACUUUUAAAAUAUAACGAAUGGAAUCAAAGUAUUUAAAAAUUAAGAAAAGAAAGUAGAUAUUAAAAGAUAAAAAGUAAAUAAAAAAUAGAAAAAAGAAUUAAUCUCUUGAAAAUGAUAUAAAAGAAAGGUGAAUUGAGAAAAAAGAGGGAAUAUUCGUAUUUGAUCCGAUUGACUAAAUGGCAUUGUGGAAUCUGUUUUGAGUGAGAGUUGUGGCGUAUCUUUGCUUCGCAGCCAUUAAAUAAUAUUUAUAUCACCAAUAAUAUCAUUCAUUAUAUGACUUUAAGCCAUCUAUAUGUGUACCUUUGGUGUUAUCGAAAUCAAGAGGACAAUAAUUUUAGUCACUAACACCAUAAAAAAAUAACACUCUAAUUGGAAUAUUUCAGGACAAAAAUACCAUAUAUAACGUGUAAUACAAAUAUGUAUAAUUUCUAUUCAUAUGCUCAUUUCUUUAUGUUUUUAAUAAAAUGACCAUAUUUAUGCACAAGUCUAAUAACUUUUUUUUAAGAAAUAAUUUCUAUUUGCUUAGUAAAUUAGUGAAGUUUUUAAAAUUUAUUAUUUCAUAAACACUUGUUAUAUUUAUUUAACUUGAUCCAUUCUUGUAUUCUCCGUCAAUACAACUUGACGAUAUUUCAACAUUUGAAAAUGGAAUCAAACUAAAACUUUUCGCUAAAUUUAGAACUAUUCAAAAGUCAAUACGUAGUGAAUUAUACACAUAGUUUAUUGGAACAAGUAUUUCCAUAAAUAGUUUUAGAAGAAAAAAAAAGUUUGUCUACAUACUAAAAUUAGCUUAUAUUAUAAGUUAAAAAAAUAAAAUUUUAAAGAAACUAUAUAAAAGAACUUAUACUAAAAUAACUUAUGCAUGAGUUAAUUUAGUUUCUCUACAUAGUAGAACACUUUUUAUAAAAAUAAUUUAUCUAAAAAAAUCAAAAUUAGUAUUUAAAAAAUAAUUUAAUAAAAUACUUAUUUAAAUACGUUAAAAAAGUUGAACAAUGAAAUUUGUAAUAUAAUUAGAAUUAAAAGGUAAAAUAUUACUUUACACAAAACCAAGUGACACUAAAACUGGAUAAAUUUAAACAUUUAUCCUCUAAUUAAUGCAAAUUCGGGUUGGUGUUGGAGAAUCAAUGACAAUUUCCUUGCAUCAUAUAUGUGGAGUUUUAAAUUUUUUGAGAUUUUUCGUGAUUUGUUUCUAUAAUGGGAGAGGAGGAUCUAUGUGCUGUGUUUAUUCCCCCACAAAGUUCCCAGAUAAUGGGGAUUUAUAAUGCAAUCUUAUUUUUAUAUAUGUCUUUGUGUAUUGUGGUUUUGAUUUAGUGUUCUAAAGUCAUUUUUUAAGAGAUCAAAUAACUUGAACAUGUUCAUUGCAUUUUGGCCUAAACCAUAAAAGUAAAAACACAUUGGAUUUAAAAAAAGUAUAUUAAUUUAUUUUUUCUGUAAAGAAAAAGUUGGAUGCUAGGUUAUUGGUUUUGAUGAAGCAGCUUACAUAAACUUGCAAUUAACCAAUGGUGUGACGAAAUGAAGAGUGUUAGGUGUUGAAAAUAAGAAUGAGUCCAAAAUGAAUCAUGGCAGAAAAGUUCCCAAGAUAAAAACAAAGAUAAAUCACACUUGAUUUGAACAGCGAAGCAGAUCACUGAAAUGGGAAAUGAAAUUUGCUUCUCCUUUGUCAUUUUCACCACAAAGUAGGAUCUGCCAAUUAAAUUGAUUGGUUCAUAGGCUUGGUGGGUUAGGCAAACUUAUUAACAUUCUACUUUUAUAAUUUGUUCAACACCUAUAUUAGUUUACAUGCACUAAAGUAAAAUGUAUGCAGAAGGUGCCACAACUUAUGUUCACUGCUCGUAGUCAUCUGAACCAAUUUUUUUAUGUUUUUGCACUGUAACUUUUGGAUCACUCAUGCAAACUUAAGUGUUAAACAAAGCCUAAAUUAUUUAUGGUUAGAUGAUUAUAAACUUGUGCCAGCUUUUUGAGGUGCUGGUUUUAGAUAACUUGGAGAUUAAAGGCAACAUUCCCUAAUAAUUGGUAAAGGUAGGGAACUUGUGAGAGUUGCAAAGAAGAAAGGGACUAGCACCGAAUGGAAUUGCAUAGAAACCACUAAUGUUGGGAUUUUAAUAUAGAGAUUGGUGCCAAUUCAUUGGUUAAGUUUUUAUGUUUUGCCAUUUCUUGAAAUUUUGGGUGGAAAGAGUACAUGGUCCAACAUUGAACAACACGGUUUAUAAUUGAAGGAGUCUCUGAAUAGUGUCGGAUAAUGUUUGAAAAGUAGAAACUAAAAAGAUAAUAUAGUUUGUUUAGGACACUGUCAUUGCAUAUAAAGAGUGUAGUGUAUGAUUCUUAACACCUACUAUUAGCCUGAAAAUUGUUGUCAUAAAUAAGUUGCAUUCUUGUUCAAUGUAAAUUAAUUACAAUAAAACUGCACCUUAGCUCACUUAAACAAGAAGUUAUUAUUUAGAUUUAAGGAUACUUAUUUAUCCUUAAUUUAUACUUGUACAAGUUUUCAAUUUUAAACAUUUUUUUAGAUGUGAUUUUUUUUAAGCACUGUCCCAUAACUCGCGGGUUUAACCCAGAUUAUCCACCCCUAAAUUCAAGUAAAUUAUAAUUAAAAAAUCUUUUUAAAGUUUAAAUUAAAACAUUCAAUAUAUGCUAAAUCUCUUAGUUGCUUGCUACUACGAUGUAUUCUUCUGUAACUAGUCAAGUAUUCAAAGAGUGGAAAAUUGGAAAAACCAACUACACAUUGAGAUCAAAUAUCAUUAAUAAAAAAAUUGAUAUUGGUUUGUACUUUGUUACCUAAUGUCAUGUACACUACAUUUCUAUUUAGAUUUUUUAUUUUUAUUUUCUAUUUGGAUGUUAGUUGGAUUUAAAUUUAAUUUUUUUAGAGACCUGAAUGUGUGUUUAGCAAUGGGCACAAUUGUACUAAUAUUCUAUCUAUUGUAUAUCAUAAUAUAAAAACAGUCGCACACGUAAACUAGAUCAUACUAAAAAAAUAUUCAUAAAUCACUUUUCUUAACGUCCUUAUAAUUUAUAAAUAAAUACGAUAAACAAGAAUUUUCUGAACCUCGUUAUAAAUAAAUACGAUAAAAGAACAAGAAAAAGUGAUUAAUAAAAAAACUUAAAAAAAUUACUUUAGUGUUUAAGAAUAAUUUAUUUUGUAAUUUUUAUGACUUUUAUUAGAAAAUAAUAUAUGUAAAUAAUUUUACGCUUAAUUUUUUAUACACUUAAGUGAAAUAUUUUGGGAUAAAAAAAAAUGUGAUCAUUUCCGUUUGAAAAAAACCAAAGGAAAGUAGAAGCAAAUAUGAAUCAGAUUUUAAAAUUUUUAGAAAUUAAAAAAUGGCCCAUGCAGGUCUCGAACCUGCGACCUUCGCGUUAUUAGCACGACGCUCUAACCAGCUGAGCUAAUAGGCCACAUGUUAAUGUAUUAACAAGUUUAAAUAUAAAUAUAAUCAUUUUUCAACAUAAAUAUUAACAAGUUUCAAUAUAAAUAUUAACAAGUUGAGGAAUAUUUAAUUUCAGUGUGAAGGAAAAUAGGUUCAGAAUUUUUUGGUAUUGGGCUUAACUAUUCCAUGAAUUCAUUCACAUUUAUUUCUACAAUUCAAUAAAAAUCAAUUUCACUGUUUCAACACCUGUUGCAAUUUUGUAUAGUGUCAAUUCCUGAUAAAAAUUUGAACAACUGAACUUUUAAAUAAUUUCAUCAUUUAUUAUUAUUAUUAAUUCUUAUGCUGCACUGUUUACUAAUUAGUCUACUUAUUUUUAUGUUUCAAAAUACAAAAAGUAUAAUUCAUGUUAGUAGAGGUGAAAGUUCUCUCUUAUUUAAUUAAUCACUAUUGAAGUUAUUACUAUGUCUGACCAAUGCUAAAGUUAAAAAAAAAAAAAAAACUAUUCCCAUAUUUUCAUCAACACAUAGAUUUCAAGUUUAGCUCAAUUAGUGUUUUGAAAAAGAUAAAAGAUUAAUAAAAUAAUGGCGUGUUAUACGUAAAUAAUAUAUUUUUUAAUAUUUUAACUCUUGAUAGAAAAAAGUUUAUCGAUGUAAAGGAUUAAUUUCACAUGAAACUAAAUUUCUAAAUGUACAUUUAGAAAAUAGAGUUAAAAUAAAUUAGUGAUCAAUUAAAUUAUGUUUUAGAUUUACCGUGCUUGUUUUUAAAAUUGAUAAAAUUUAUUACCACGACAAAAUUUAAGUGUAGGCUAGUUUUAUUUUGAAAAAAAUAACAAUUAAUAAUCUACUUAAACAUAACCAAAAGUAUUAUAAUAAUCAAGAAUAAAACAAUAUUAAACUAAAGAAGAUAAACAUGAAUCACAUAGACUCAUCUUUUUUGGGGUAACAUAUUGUAACCUUUUUUUUUCUUUAUAUUCCCUUUCAUAUCGAUGUUCCUCAUGUCUUCAAUUUAACAAUUAAUUUUGCUAAAUGUAUAAUAGUGUGAAAAGCAUCAUGUUAACAAAAAAAAAACAUGAAUUUCCUUAACCACUCGUGGAAAGUAUUGUAAAUAAUGUAUAAAAAAACUUAAUCUUGUUCUCUUUUAAAAAAAUAUACGGUGAAUAGUUGUGGUGUUCUCCCUUGUAUUUAUCAGGGAUUACAUUAUUCUUCUGUAAUAAGAAAUAUGAAGAAAUUAGUCCACAUUAUCUUGUAUUUUUUUUGCUCUUUUCUAUUAUGUUGUCUGAGUUCUGAUUAAGAUUGUUACAUUCAUAAAUGAAUAUUGACCAUUCUCAAAAUUAGACCUCACCAUACUAUUUAUCUUUAUCCAUCGUAAAAUUCUUCAUAAUAAUGAUGUUAAUGUAAAUAAAAAAAAUCUGGAUUCCUUUAAGUCAAUUGGGACAGCAUCAGUUUGGUUUACCUUAUAAACAAAAUAAAAACAAACAACAUUCUUGAAGCAAUCACAAAUUACUAACAUGACUCUUCUAGUUAGUAGGUUCUAAUAGUGAUGUACCACAUUUGUUAUUGUUUGUGUCAUUCACAUUUUAAAUGUCUCAUUUCACUUUUUAAUUGUCUCACUUCACUUUUUAUCAUAAAAUUAAACCUAUUCAUAUCAUACUAAGUGCCUCUAAAUUGUGGUCUAUAAAAAUUGUCUCAUGCCUCUACCAACUGGAAAUAAGUCCUAGUGUUUUUUCAAGCUCACUGUAAAAUCCAGAACUAGAUUACCAGGGUAUCUGUCAUAACUAAGAUAUUACGAUUGUCUAGUGGAGAGAUCAUGUUUAUAACUUCAAGGGGAAAGAAGAAUAACUUCAGGUUUUGUUAGCUUGUUACAGUGAUGAUUUUGUUGAAAAAAGUUGAACUAAAAGUUUAACAAAUUUUUGGUAACGUUUGCAGUUUGGCAAACCAAAGAAUGAUACAUUUUCCAAUUAGCAUUUCAGUAUCAUGUUUUGAUCUUAUUUAUGUUAAUUUACAGCGAUGCUUUGAUCUUAUUUAUGUUAAUGUAUAGGACCUCACUCAGUUUUGAUCUUAUUCAUGUUGACUAUUAAGAAUAUUUUAAUGAUACUGAUGCUCAGUUAUGGGCACUGUCGAUAAUCUUUCAAGAUAUAUUAGGUUAGAAUAUUUAAAAACAUGUUAUAAAGAAUAUACCACAAGUAUAUGUGGCCUAGCUCCUCACAAACUAGGCUACGCUAGGUAAUGAAGCCAAAGGUUGAUUACAAAAAGUCUAUGAAUUCAAGUUUCAAAAACACAUAAAAAGCCAAAGGUAAGACAGAUUAAAAGGGGAAAAACUACAUUUUCAAAAGCACAUCUAGUAACGGGUAACAGUGACUUUCUUUGAAGACACAUCAAUUUGACUCGCAUAAUCAAAACUCUCCACGGCCUACAACAACAUAAAGCCAUAACAGAGAUUACAAGCCUUCAUUAACAACGAUGCAAGACGUUUAUUUCAUAAGACGCUUUUGGAGCCCGAAUUUGAUCAAGCUUCAACAAAAGAACCUUCAAAUCUCCGUUCUUAGUGGCAAUCACCAGGCUUGUAAAUUCAGUUAACAGAACCAAAUUUAAAGGCCAAGGGAGCUGUCAUUUUUAGGGGAAAACAGCGCCUUUCAAUAACAAAAAAAAUCAAUACUUCCAAAAACCAAAUUCGUAUCCGAACAAAGAGUUUUAGACCAAAUGAAAUAAAAACCAUAAUAAAGAAUGGCCUCAGAGGUAGUGACAAUUAAAGAUAUCAUCAUAAACACAUCUGAUGAUACAAACAAAUGAGUACAUCAUUGGCCAAAUCAAUACUAACAGUAUCAAUAAUCAAUAGUACACAUUAUCAAGUCCAACACUCAAAAUUUAGAAGCCAUAACUCUAAUAUGGGGUUAACCCAAACCUAAUUUCAGUAUCAUUCUUCAGCAGUUCAAUAGUAAACAAAGUGAUCAAUAUCGCUUGUAGAACAUAUAAGAUCAUCACAACAUCAUCAACCUAGAUAUUUCUUUUCAAACAGAGCCUUAUACAAGUUGGAGAGUUUCCUAACAAUUAAUUUCUACACAUUCAUCGUGAAAACUGCAUUAUGCAUCAGAGAGAUUCCCAAAGACAAAUCAACAUCCUUAGAAUAAGUACUGAUGUCCCUGUCUUUUAUCGUCAUUUGCAAAUGGUAUAGUUAAAAUUAAAACAAUAAAUUCAAAUGCUUCACUAAAAAAAAAUCAAAAACACAAAAGAAGACAUGAACGCAUCAGAGAGAUUCCCAUUAGACGAAGUCAACAUUCUCCAUAGGAGUGCUGAUGUCCCUGUCUAUUUUGUCGUCAUCUGCGAAUGAAUACUAUAUUUACUGGCUCAAACUAUGGAAUUGAAAGGUUGGCACAAGACGGCAGAACAAAUUUUAAAGCUAGAUCAAAGUCAUACAAGUGAAUUCAGCAAAUCAGAACAACAACAUUACAACUGCAAUUCAAUCACGAAAACAAUCAUAAAAAGGGAGCAAAACCCUUAAAACACUUUACUGUGCUAAUCGUAGAGAUUCAGAAAGAUAAAGCUAGUGCCUCAGAUCGAAGUUGAUUUCAUAGAAAUAAAUCUCGGAGUAUAUUUAACACCAUCAUUGGCACACAGCAAUUAGAGGCAAAUGAAUUGAAAAAAGGAAAAAAAAUGAGACAAAACGAAAGAGAGUUGGAUAGAAGAAACCCUAGACGGAUAUCGCUGCUGCUGUGGAGGUUAGGGUUUCAGAACAAUGGCUUCGUAUAUAUAGAGAGAAAGAGGGGCGAUAGUAUAAGUUAGGGUAUAGGAGACGGAGCCGUUUUGUUCCUUUUACUCUCAUAAAAUCCUGACCGUUGGAUGUACGUGUUUUACCACCCUACAAAUUCACGAUUAAUAUUUUUAAAAAAUGUUUAACCCUGGUUUUUAUCAUUCAUUACUUUUUUAAUUUUUUAUUUAUUAUAUGAGAUGGCUUUUACUUUUAAGAUAUAAAAAACUAUAUUUAUCACUUUGUACUUAAAUUUCUUGUGUUAUUAAUUUUAUUUAAAUAUUUAAGGAAUAGUGGUAAAUUUUAAUAUAUAGUUUUAAAUUUGGUAUCUUAAUAUAAAUUAUAAAUAUUAUAAAAUUAGACUCUUUGAAGGAGAAAUUUAGAUAGUUCUUUACUUAAGUUGAAAUUUAACAUUUUGAUAUAUUAUCAUGAUAAAUAAAUAUUAAGGAAAAACGAAAACUACUUGUAGAAAAAAAAAACAAGGUGAAUUUACUCUAUUUUUUGAAAACAAAAAUUUUAAAUAAGAUUUCACUUUUUAAUAUAAUCGAUUUUUAUUUUAAAUACUUAAUAAUUUGAUUUUUAAAUUAAAUAUAUGACGUAAUGUAAAGAUUUUAAAAAUUGUUUAAGAAUAGAUGUGGUAUAACUAAGAUGGAAUAUGAAUAUUUAUUAUUAAAUUAUAAAGCUUAUAAAUAAAAAAACUGAAUUAUUCAAACUUUAUUUUAAAAUAAUUAUUAUAUUUUUAUAACUUUUUCCCCUUUUUUUUCUCUAACUUCUUUUUAAUAUUCUAACCAAUCUAUUGAUUUUUUUCAAAUAUUAGAUCACAACAUUUCAUAUGAAUUUCAACGGAAAAUAAAACAAGUUUAUUCCAUUAAAAUUUUCUACAUCCUUUUUCUUGAGUCAGUUUUUAGUGUCUAUGUUAGCUGGGAUCAUAUGCUUAAAUCAUCAAUUAUGUUUAAUUUUUUUGUUAGUUACGUAGAGUUGGAAUUUGAUUUCGUCAUGAGCAAGCUAAACAAGUAAGGAACCUACAUGGUUAUAUUAUCUUUGAGUUUUGAGAUUUUGAUUGUUUAAUAUCUUAAUUUUGAUUAGAUAUUGAAAGAUUGAGAUAUGUUGUGAGUAUUUUUUAGGUUUAUGUAUUUACACAAGUUGUUGAUCAAAUUAUUAGGUUUGGUUUUAGUUAAAUUUAUGUUUGAAAGUCUUGAAUAUAUAUAUAUAUAUAUAUAUAUAUAUAUUGAUUUGUGAGUUGAACGAGGAUGCAAGCAAUUUUUUAGCAAAGUAAUAUCACGUUUAUUUUUUCAUCUUUUGAGUUAUAUACAAAAAUUACAAAUUGAUAUACUAAUUUUGGAUAAGGUUUGAAAAAAACUUGUAUUUGCAUUCAAUUCCAUUUUCGCUCAAAUGAAAGAUUAUGGUUUCCUUUGCAUAUUCCUCAAAACCUAGGUUAAUUGUAAAUUAAAAUUCCAAAUGUACGGAUUAAAGGAUUAAAAAAAGAAGUUGGUUAGUUUAAAACUUUUCGUUUAUCUUAAAAGUGCAAAAUAUGAUGCGUACUCUUGGUUGAGAAGUUUGACUCACCAUCCUUAAUAUUUUUUAUGUUUCUAAUAAAUAAAAAAAUUUACUUGGAUUCAAAUCUGAAAUCUGAGUAAAAAUAUUAAAGCACAGUUCUUCAUCUACCAUUACAAUAUUAAAGACUAAUUUGAAACUUUGAUUUCAGAAUAAUAUGCUCUUCAAUAAAAAGCUUGUAUGUGUGCCAAGGGACCAAGGAACAAAUAAACUUUCAAUUUAUAAAACUAUUUAUAAGACCAUUAAAAUAACUUUUGUACAAAAUAAAAAUUUACAGCUUGGAUUAAUCAAUUCCAAAAAUCUACUGGUAAAAGAGUUAGUGAGUUUAAUACUGGUAUGUGAAUAAACUGCAUCCUACAAGUCUUACAAUAUAUACAACUAAUAUUGUCCACUCUUACGAACCUUGUUGACCUCAUAGGUGGAGAGACAAUCUAAUCUGUUUUUGUAGACAUAAUUUGCAAGCAUUUUGUCAUGACUUUAUCAACUAACAUCCUUGUCACUCGAAAUAGGCUAGUAUGAAUAGUUGAGUCAUUGAUUUACUGCAAAAUACAGGAAAUUAGAAACAACCUAAGUCAAAUUGUCUACAAAACAAAAAGUAGAGACUAAAGUCCAACAUAAAGAAUUGAAACACAAUAGAUAUUAUCUUUUGUUUGAGUUCUCUUAAUGCCCAUUUGAGCGAUUUUAGAAAAUUCAAAAUCUACCUUGAAACUAUGAAGUAUGAAUCAUUGAAACAUAAAAGGAUUGCUUACCCUGUGGUAGCCGUUCUCAUUAUACAUGGCAAUACCACAAGACCCCGAAGCUGAAUUCCAAAAUUGAUGUCCAUUUUCGAAUAGUGAACCGGAAAGAUCAAAGUUGUUAACUUGGUAAUCCACGGUGUUUGAUUUGUUGUUCAACGUUGGUAAAUGUUUUGCUUCCUCAAUAUCUUGUGGAGGAGGGAAUGUAAAUUGGUCACAACGUUGUACAUUUAAGUAUGUUGUUCCAUUUAACUCGUUCAUUGCACCACCUCCUUGACCCAAAGUAGUCACUUGGGGAGAACUACCAACUUCAAGUUUGUGGCUCCCAAUAUAACUUGAAUAGCUUGGAAUUGAAAUGUCAGUUGAACACUCAGCGUCUCUAUUGGUAUUAUCACUGUAUGUUGUACAAUUAAAUCAGUAACGAAAUUGAAAGAUGAAUUAUAAGGUACUAUAAAGCAAUCUUAGGAAGAAAAUUUGAUAUAUCAUUAGUUAUAUUAAUUGAAAGACAUAUGUGCUAGCUUGUUAAAAUAUAUAUCUUCAGUGGAAAUAAUCCAGUUCCACACUUCCACUAUCCCACAAGUAGAACAAAGUUAUAUAGACGAGGUAACCCACCUAAAUGGUAGAAAUUUUGGUUCAUUUGGUAACAACAAUUGAUGAUUAUCAUUAUUCAAAAGCCAAGACAGUGGUUGAGAUUCUUGUAGACUUGCCAUCAUCAAGGGUAAUGUCAUCCCUUCCUGUAACUAUGAAGCAACAAAAUACCAAAUAAAUAUUUUGAAAAGAAGAACAGGAAAUAUUAAGAAAGGCAAAAUACAACAUUUACUAUACCUGGUUAGCACAUUCAAGUGAAAUGAAUUGGUGCUUUCCUAAAUUUUCCUGUUAAUUUAAGAAAACAUGUUGACAUGUUAAAAUACAAACCUAGUAUUUAAUUAGUUAUCCAUGGAUUGGUGUAGUGGUAAUUUGAAGAUGACAUAACAAUAUGGGAAGUCUGCAUGAAACAAAAGUCUUACCUUCUGCAGAACCACUCGAUUGAUUGAUUCUCGUAACGAGUCUUCCAUUUGCCUAAGAUGCUCUAAAUUGUUGAUCUUCUCUAGAUUAUUCCAAUAGCUAAAAAGUUGAAAAUUUAAACACAAUAUUAAUUUAUGAUUAUUACUUAAACUUUCAUGAUCCAUAACUCAUGUAUGACAACAUCAAUUU
rnacentral:lncRNA from 1 species